rnacentral:lncRNA from 1 species
AUGUCUAGCUUGAAUAUGGAAUUUGACGACGAAGACUCAAUAACUUUCCAGAGUCAACCAAUGGAAGAGGAUCUAAUUCCUCAAACCAAGCCGUUGACAUAUGAUAUGGUUCCGAACUCGGCUGGUGGAUAUUCAUAUGAGGUCAACGACGAGACACGUUUACUGAGAUAUCUUUGUCUAGGAACAGAGGGAGGGUCUUACUAUGUGACUGGUCCAGUUUUAAAAAGAGAAAACAUACAGUGUAUUGAUAGGUAAGGAUGUGUUGUGAAAACGAAAGUAGGAAAACCAAAAUGGCUAAUGUUGGGUAAAAGCCAAAACAAAAUCGGAAAUUGACACGUGACAAUAGAGUCAUGAUGACAUUAGCCAAUUACAGAGGCUUCUAUAUAAAUAUAGUACAAUAGCAGUCUCAGCGAGUGAGAGAUUAGAUUAAAAUUCUGCAAAGGAUGUUUUGGGGCCUUUCCGAUGAUAGCUAAAUAUGCAACGGUAUGGGAUUUACUCAUUGUUAAAGGUCGUACGGUGACACAUGGUUGUUUAAAUAAUCACUGUGUCAUUUGGUCUGUUGUGGAGAGUUGUCUUAAUUAUUGGCAAUCAUACCACAUCUCAGUGAUGAUUCCUAAUUUUGUAACCACAUUCAAAUGCAUAAAAAUCAAAGCAAACAACUAUACGUACAAAUCCUUGAUCAAACCAAAGUUUUGAACACAGUACUGUUGAAAUAUUUUUAAUAAUGGUGUAAUUUAAAUGAAGAAAACAUUACAUAUGUACUAUGUAUGGUAUAAUACAACAACGUAUAAAAGUUGUCAUUAUUGGAAAUUACCUGAACUAAAAAUAAAUUAUUUAGUCUGUGUUGACUACGCGUUUACUAAUAGGCAAUAACUAGUUCAGCGUAAAGCUUAAAUGAUUCAGUUUUAUCACAGUAAGCAAACAAUAAACACUGCUCAUUUUGACUAGGAGUUUAUACUCUGGGUCCGGAUUUAUAAUCAAAAUGUCUAGCAUGGAUAUGGAAUUUGACGACGAAGACUCAAUAACUUUCCAGAGUCAACCAAUGGGAGAGGAUCUACUUCCUCAAACCAAGCAGUUGACAUAUGAUAUGGUUCCGAACUCGGCUGGUGGAUAUUCUUAUGAGGUCAACGACGAGACACGUUUACUGAGAUAUCUUUGUUUAGGAACAGAGGGAGGGUCUUACUAUGUGACUGGUCCAGUUUUAAAAAGAGAAAACAUACAGUGUAUUGAUAGGUAAGGAUGUGUUGUGAAACGAAAGUAGAGGAAAACCAAAAUGGCUAAUGUUGGGUAAAAAAGCCAAAACAUAAUCGAAAUUUACACGUGACAAUACGAGUCAUAUAAUAUCAAUGACAAAUUGAACAAUUGAGAUGUUUUCUAAGGGUUUUUUCCCAGAGUUGAAAAUUUAUUGAUGCAGUCUUUUUCGUUUCUUCAUUAAUUAGAACAUGAUACACAGUUUUUCGAAACGCAUUUUUAAAUUGACCUUCAGGAUAGUUUUUUAUCCGAUAGUAUUUCGGAUCUUUUGUUUUUCGAUGCAUGUUUUGAAUAUGGUGCAUCAGGUUCUAAUAUAUAUAUCCAUGGUUAAAAGCGACCUGGGCAGAACAGAUCGUUAUGGAGACCAGUUCAUGAUGAAAAAAAAUGAAAAAAGAAUUAUAAGGAAUUUCUAAAUUUUCUACUUAGUAAAAGGAAUUUUUUACAUUUUUGUGCUCUGUACUCGGGGGAAAAAACGUACGCACUUACCGCUAAGUUAACCAUACCAACCACAUACCAACUUGAUUUAAGAGCUACCUGAAGAUUUCAUAUUUAACUUUUGAACGAUCAUUAUCUNNNNNNNNNNNNNNNNNNNNNNNNNUGUAUCGCGUAAGAAAAAAAAAAAAAACGGAACAGUUUCUUGACCCUAAUUUAAAAUUUUAUUACUGCAUUGAGGAAUGUUCUUGUCAGAAAAAGAACGUUUUUGAGUGAAUAUAUAUUCAUUGAUUCACAAUUUCUACAUUUUGUCUAGAAAUAAAGAUACGCAAAUCCUGAGCUUGUGCCCUAUCUAUUAAAUAAACAAUUUAUAACUGUUAUAUCAUAAUCAGUUUAUUAUUUUUUUAGCCAACCACUACUUAGUAUUAUAAAUAAAAAUUCCGUCCAAUAUAAUUAUGUAUAGUGGGACUGUUUUAAACCCACCGUAUUCGUUUUAAACCGGUGUUAACUUGUCCAAAAUAUUAUGUAAAAAAAAAAACCAAGAAGUUUGUUUGCCCACCUUGCACCCCCAGUUUGGUUUUGCGAAACACAUGGGUUUCAUCUUUUGUAUAUAACUCGAACAAUCAGAUUUUUUUAGCCGGAAACACAUGUUGGUAAAAUUUUGGGACUUAAUGAACAAUUAAACUUGAUGUAAAACUGUGAAAGGCACAACAUGAGUUGUCCGAAAAGAUGCUGAAGUAAUUGGGAUUCUUAAUUCCUGUUACUAAAUUUUAACUUUGGCUUCAGUUUAUGAUGUACACUGUAGUAUGAAAUUCAAACAGUGUGGCUUGGCCAUUGAUUGAAAUCAUUAAAUUCAUCCCAUUGACUGGGACAAUUUACGUGAACGUUUGCUGUAACGACCAUCGUUCCGACGUAGCCUACGAUAGACCUCUUUAACUGUGAGUCACCAAAGGUUUCUUAAUCGCCUUUAUUUAUAAGUAAUUUCGAUAAAAUAAUCAGGAAUAAUCUUUUGUUUUGAUUAUAUUAAUUGGUAUAUAAUAAAACAUCGUGUUAUUUCUGAUUAAUUUUUUCGAAUUACUUUAUUGAGGUGUUGAAGAACCUUUGGUGAUCCCAAUAGUUUAAGUGUCUUUAAAAAGUACAUAUGUGAUCAGGGUCGUUACAACAUACACAACGUUCACCUAUAAUUGUCCCAGUCAAUGAUGAAUUUAAUUGGUCUAAUCCAAGGCUACAGCCACACUGUUGUUGAAUUCAUUCUAUAGUAUAUACGCCCAACAUGGAGAACGGACAGCCCAAAAUAUCACACUGUUUUUGAAUAUUUAUAAAAUGAUUUCGAAGGAAUCUAAUUAACAAAUUCCAUUUACUUUUUAUAACGACCGAAAAACAAAUUUGGCGUCUAUUUAACUCGAUUUAUUUCACAUUGUACUGGGUCGGAUUAACCGGUUCGCCUCAUAAUAAACCAGUCUCAUCUAUAGAUUAGGUGUUUUAGAUAAACUCAUCUAUUGAAGUGCCAGUCAUUCUUUUGUAAAUUCUUUGGUGACACUGAUAGCUAAGUGAUUAGAAAUCAGUAAUGAAUUAUAACUGCAAUCAUCCUAAUCACACACAUCUUAAAGUAGAGUGUCUUGAUGCAAAUUUAGAGCUUUCUUACAAAAUUGACGAAGUAACGAACGGAUACCGGUAAAGGGAGCACGUAUUUCAUUUUCCACAAUAACAGUUUUAAAAAGAGUCUUGUUUUAUCCAAUAAAACAGCAUGCCUUUUCCUAAAUCUAAAGUUUAUUUUUUUCAAAUAAUAAUAUCGCAAAUAAUACAUGAUUUUAAUAUAAUCAAACAGAAAAAAAUAGUGUCAAUACACUUACGUCCCGAUACGUUACUUCCGUAAACCACGAGUACACACAUUCCGCGGGAAAUUUUUUUAAGCACGAACCGUUUCACGAUUAUACUUUCAAUGGAUUUAUUGAAAGUACGUUAGUCUAAAUUUAAACGACAAGAUCACAUUUAUUUUUGUAUGAAAAUUCAAUAACAGUGUGGCUGUGCCAUUGAUUGACAAUUAAAUUCAUCCAUUGACUGGGCAAUUUACGUGAACGUUGUCUGUAACGACCAUGUUCUACGACGUACCUACGAUAGACAUUUAAACUGUGAGGUCACAUAAAGGUUCUUAACGCCUUUAAUAUAAAUGUAAUUUCGAAUAAAAUAAUCAGGAAUAACUUAAUGUUUUGAUUUUAUAUAAUUGGUAUAAAUCAAAAACUAUCGGUGUUAUUCUGAUUAAUUUUUUUCGAAUUACUUAUUGAAGGUGUUGAGAACCUUUGGUGACCCCAUAGUUUAAGUGUCUUUAAAAAUCCAUAGUGAUCAGGGUCGUUACAUACAAACGUUCACCUUAAUUGUCCCCAGUCAAUGGAUGAAUUUAAUGUGGUCAAUCAAAUGGCCACAGCACACUGUUGUUGAACCUUUCAUUCUAUUUUGUAUAGUACACUUCAGCAAAUUGUCAAAGUGGAAUAUCGAGAUUUGAUAAAAAAAAAUGAUGCUACAAUGUUUUUAAAAAGUAAUGUUGAAUAUAUCUAGAAAAACAGAUUUUGUAUAUCAAGAAAAUAAAUCUACAAUUUUGCACCAUAUACAUUGUGGAUUUUAAUAUAAUGACGAUUUAACAGUACACAUGUUUGGAAGAUAGACGCGAAGUUGUCACUUAUCGUCCAGUGGCUAAUAUUUCAUGAAUGUUCAGGACUAUAGGCAAAACGUUCCAUUGCCUGCGGUUUCAUAAUAUUUCACAUUGUGUGGGGGGGGGGGAGGGGAGGGCAAAGGCAAAUUACAAGAGGAGAGGCGAUGAUUCUAAAGUUAUUAAACGAGCACCAGCAUAUGGCAAAGUAUGACGAUCAUCUUUUUUAUUCAUUUUCAUUUUAUUAUUUUGAGCGUUGCAAAUUUUGAAUGAAGUAAGUAUUUGUGUUUUAAUUUUUUGUUAUUUUUCUAUAAGGGAAGAAGACAGUGCAACAUUGUAAUAUUGAAGAGUAGGGGAGGGGUCGGUUUUUAGUCUUUUAGAGACAUUUUAUUCGUCUGACUACUAGAUGUAUUUAGGAUAUUUUGUAGAUUUAUCUCCUCCGACCUGGUGGUGUCAUAUUUUAACCUAUCGUUCGUCCCGAAAUUCUAAAUAUACCAAGAAAAGUCCAAUUUAAUAAGUGUUGUUGCAUGUAGGAUAAUUGUCAGAAAUUCCACGACUAUUAUUUAAAUAUGUCAAAAUAAAGGAUCCCUAAAACGAGUCUUACGUAUGAUUCGUCAAGCAUACAUACCUUUCGUCAAUUUGUAAGAAAGCUCUAUUAAAACGUAAGCUCCGCCCGAUCAGUUGAAAUAACAUUGGUAAUAUAAUGGUAUGAUGUCGUCUGCGUCGUCGUCGUCGUCCGAAGACCCAUUUGGUGUCCGGACAAUAACUUAAGUUAAAGUGAAUGGAUCUCGUUGAAAUUUUAUAAAAAGGUUCAAUACCUCAAAAGAAAAGUUGGGAUUGAUUUUGGGGAUGAUGGUCCCUACCGUUUUGGAAUUAGGGGCCCAAAACAAGCAUUUUUCUAUUUUUAGGAUAUCAACUUGUGUAUAAGCAUGUCAAUUGCUCUGAAAUUGUACCACAAUGUUAAUACCACAGGUAGAAGGUUUGGAUUGCUUUUGGGGGUUAUGGUCUCAAAUGUGUAGGAAUUUGGGGUAAAAAAAGGGGCCAAAAUAAGCAUUUUUUUUUAGUUUUCAGCCAAUAACUUGUGUUUAAGUGUAUAAAUCUCUCAGAAAUUAUACCACAAGUUUCUAUACUACAAAGGGAUUGUUUAGGGAGGAGGUAUGGUUAAAAUCAUCAAUCAAUUGGGGACAAAAAAGGGGGUAAACAAGGGUUUUCCUGGUUAAAGGACAAAAGCAGUGAAGGGGAGGUAAUCCAAUUAAAGAACACUGUUAUAUAUAUGUUUGGUUACUUGAUUACCUCCCUUACACUGCUUGAAAAUCAUGUAUUAAGAAAUGAUGAUUGUCUUGAGGUGUGUAGCUGACAUUUAUAUUUAGAAGUGACUGUUUAUUAAUAUUAAUUUUAACCAUGACUGUAUGUCAUUUUAUAUUUUGAUAUUUUAUGAUGUAUUUAAAUGAGUAGUUAUUGUUGCCAACUCCAUUAAAAAUUUGAAUUGAGAUUAUUUUUUUAAUAAGGAAAUGGGGGAGGUCAAAAAAGGGGGUGGGGGGUAGGGGUGUAAAUUUUCUCAUUUCAGAUUUCAGAAAUUUAAAAGAAUUUGUCUACUAACAUUUUUUUCGAGGGGAUUAAUAUUCAACUGCAUAGUGUAUUGCUCAAUAGCAAAAAAAAAUAUGUUCAUUUAACCACAUUCAUUCUGUGUCAGAAACCUAUGAUUUGUCAACUACUUAAUCACAAUCCAAAGUCAGAGCUGUAUCAAGCUUGAAUGUUGUGUCCAUACUUGCCCCAACUGUUAACGGUUCGACCACUGCGGUCGUAUAAAGCUGCGCCAUGCGGAGCAUCUGGUUAUUAAAAGUUUAACAAAAACUACUCACUUAUUUAUUACAGACUGAUCAUGAAUGGGAAAGGUCCAGAUGCAGUAAAAUUGAUAAGAGACGUCAGCGUAAAUGGUAGAGCCUGCAAACAAACACCAACUUUAAACGCUUUAGCCAUAUGUGCAAGAUCCAACGACCCAAAAACUAAAGCAGCUGCCUAUAGCAUAUUGCUCGAUGUUUGCAGAAUACCAACCCAUCUCUUUGAAUUUGUCAACUUAUGUGAGAAGGAAAGUGCUGGUUCGGGAUGGGGCAGGGCUCAUAGAUCUGCCAUUGGUAAGUGGUAUAAUCAGUUUGAAAAAGAUCCCAAAAAGCUUGCAUUACUGACAACGAAGUACAAGGCAAGACAUGGAUGGAGCCAUAAAGAUGUAAUUAGACUGGGGCAUGUGAAACCAAGAAAUACUCCGGUUGGUUUGGUCAUCAGAUAUAUCAUCAAGAACAUGGAAGAUGCAACAUCUAUGACACAGUAUGAUAGAAACCCAGAGAUUGCACCGGUUAAAGCCUUUCUUGAUGCAGUUGAACAGGCUAAAAAGUGCACCAGAUCAGACAUUGAGAAAUUGCGCGCUUUGAUUGCUGAACAUCAAUUAGUCCGAGAGCAUGUACCUACCGAUUUGCUGGACUCCAAAGAAGUUUGGGACACGAUGCUUCGCUUGAUGCCUAUGACAGCAAUGAUAAGAAACCUUGGGAAAAUGUCAAGCCUUGAGUUACUUGAGGUCGAUUCUUUUGGUGAAAAACUUGUGACCGAAAAGCUCGGAGACACCAGUAUCUUGAAAAGGUCUCGAAUUCAUCCAUUCACUAUUCUGAUAGCAUAUAACCAGUACAAAGCAGGUCGAGGUGACAAGGGAAAACUUUCAUGGCAGGUUAAUGAUAACAUAGUUAAAGCACUCGAGAAAGCUUUCUAUGAAGCAUUUAGUUUCGUACAGCCAACUGGUAAAAAAUUCUGCCUAGCAGUAGACGUGAGUGGCUCUAUGAGACAACCAGUCAUUGGUGCGUCGUCUAUUGAAGCACGCGAUGCAUCAGCUGCAAUGAUGUUAUUAACGGCUAAAACUGAGAAAGAUUAUGAAGUUGUUGCUUUCUCAAAUGAACUGACAAGAAUGGAUAUAAGAAAAGAAGACACCUUGGAGACGGCUAUUCAGAAGUGCUCUGAUCUGCCAUUCUCAAGUACCGACUGUGCCUUACCAAUGAAAUGGGCCAUGGAACAUAAGAAGAAGUUUGAUGUAUUCGUCGUGUACACAGAUUCUGAAACGUACUACGGGAAUAUCACUCAGCACGCUAUAGCCUAAAGAAUAAUUUGCCUAUUAGACCAUUCACAACGGUUUGUUGAAAAAUAAAAUUGUUUUCAUCCACCAACCCUAAUUUUGUUCAGCACAUUAGCGGAACACAGUUAUAUAUAUAAUUUUAAUAGUGUAAUCGAGAAUAUAUCUAAAUUUGUAUUUCUUAAUGAUCGGUUCAUGUAGUAAUUAAUGAUCAAUAUAAUUUUAGCCAAUGUGGAGAAAGGAAUUUUUAACCGCAAGAUAUAAGUGUUAGAGCUAAUUUCCUAGUUCAUGUAGAGUGAGAUUUGUGUUGGCUUGCUUUUUUUUUGUAUAAAUGUUUGCCCAGACAUUUCAGUUAAGAUUGACAUCUGCAAACAUUUAUAAACAUGAUAAAUAAGCAAAAUUAAACCUUCAUACCCAUUUCCUUUCUCAAUUUAUACAUAUAGUUCUUAUAUUUAAUUUAGAUGUUAUCCUGAAGGUUAGGAAUUCCGAAUAUAAAAUAAUGUAUACAGGUCUAAUUAACUUCAUCAUCAUUAAUCCAUCACAGGUUACGUCUCGGUCAUUACAACUGAUCGGACGUGCUUGGUCGGCUCCUCUUUACCCACUGUCUACGAUUUUGAUGUACUGAAAGAUGGCUCAACCACUAUUAACUUUCGAUUAAAGAAACCAAUUCAACGCAAUACAGUUUACAUUUUUGCUUGACGUGUAUAUUCUCGCGUCAGCAUACAUUCUAAACCCAAUUACAUAUGGGGAAGUGUUUUGCCGAUUUUUUAACGUUCGAGGGGUAUAUCCUAGGUGUUAGAUAAUGGACCACCAUUUCACUGUCUGACAAAUUUGGAUCUGAUUAUGCUUCCUGUCAUCGUUAAUACUAUGUCCGAGACUCAUCGACCAGUACUACAUCAUCGGGGCUAGCAGGAUGCACAGCCGACCAACCUGGCCCUGAAAGCAAACAUUUCCACAAAAAGCAAGCAAGCCAACCAAAUAAACUUGAGAAUUAAAAUUGGGAUCACAAGACUAGUCUAACAAAGGCCAUGCAGAGAUUCCUGACUUGGGAUAUGCCCAAACAUGCGGCGGGGUUAAACAUGUUUUUGCGAUCUCAAUCCUUCCCCUCUACCUCUAGCCAAUGUAGAGAAAAGAAACUCACAGUAAUACGCACAGAAAAACUCAGUUUAAAAGAAGUCCGAGUCUGAUGUUACAAUAGGUAACAAUAGAAAGUAAACAAAAUGACAUUGAUACAUAGAUUAACAAAGAACUACUAGCAGUUACUGACAGCAAGCUCCAGACCUCAAUUAAACUGAUUGAAAGAUUAUGUCUUCAUCAUAUGAUUAUCAAGCACAAUCCCUCCUGUUAGGGGUUUAAUAUUAUACAAUCAUAAAAUAUGAGAAAACAUAACCCGUAUUAUCAUGAUUAUUAUGCUAACAACUGGUUUUAGAAUAAUGACCUCUCACCAAUUUCAAUACUAUUAUCCCUUCUUAAUAAGUCUGUUUAAAGGUUUUGUUAUCUUUUGAGGUGAAAAUCUUACUGUACAAGCAUUUCAAAAUUUGCUCUAAACGUCCACUUUAAUUGAUAUGUCCGUCCGUCUGUCCGAAAAUUGGUUUCCGUUCUCUAACUUUAGUUUGCCUCAACCAAACGUUAUGAAACUUAUACACAAUGUUUAUUACCACAAAUCAAGUUGGAAUUGGUAUCGUGAGUUCUAUCGUUCUAGAGUAAUGCCCUUAACAAAUGGGAAAAAUGCUAAAUUUUUCGUUAAUACCGUUCUCUAACUGAAGUUUGCCUUAACCUAAUGUUAUGAAAGUUGUACACAAUGCUUAUAUUACCACAAAAUACAGAUUAGUUUGAAUUUUGGUGGCGCCACUUUUACCGUUCUAGAGUUAUGACCCUUUACAAAUGGAAAAAAAAUCUUGAUUUUUCGUUUCUGUUCUUAACUUCAGUUUUCCUCACUCUAAUGUUAUGAAACGUAUUCGCAGUGCUCAUUUCAACAAAACACAGAUCAAGUCCAAAUUUGGAUAGCGUCACUUAUACAGUUCUUGAGUUAUUUCCCUUUAUAACUUUAUAUGCAAGCGGGGGCAUAAUCUGUGUCCCAUGGACACAUUCCCCAUUUAUUUUAUAUGUAUUAUACAAAAUGUAAGGGAAGACGAGACGUUUGCAAUAUUAUGUAAUAUGUCAAAUAUCACAAACGCGUCCAAGGAAAAUGGAAAUUUGUAAUAGAAAUAAAAAAAAAAAACAUUUUGAAAAGGCUAUUGCUUAUUUUUAUUUGCACUCUUGGCUUUUUCAAGUUUUGAUAAAAAUUUGGGUUGAGACGUCACAAUUUCCAGAAAAUAACAAACCUUGUCUCAACAACAAAUGGACGUUUUUAACAACCUUGACUGGCUGUACAGCCCUUGCACGAUCUCUGAGGAUGAUCAGUAUAUUUAAAACACGAUAUCAAUCUCGAAGGAAUCAAUAAAUAACUGUCACUUCUUUUAAUUUUAAAAGGGUUAACAAAAAUUCCAUUUAUUUAUUGCAGACUGAUUAUGAAGGGGAAAGGUCCAGAUGCAGUAAAAUUGAUAAGAGACGUCAGCGUAAAUGGUAGAGCCUGCAAACAAACACCAACUUUAAACGCUUUAGCCAUAUGUGCAAGAUCCAACGACCCAAAAACUAAAGCAGCUGCCUAUAGCAUAUUGCUCGAUGUUUGCAGAAUACCAACCCAUCUCUUUGAAUUUGUCAACUUAUGUGAGAAGGAAAGUGCUGGUUCGGGAUGGGGCAGGGCUCAUAGAUCUGCCAUUGGUAAGUGGUAUAAUCAGUUUGAAAAAGAUCCCAAAAAGCUUGCAUUACUGACAACGAAGUACAAGGCAAGACAUGGAUGGAGCCAUAAAGAUGUAAUUAGACUGGGGCAUGUGAAACCAAGAAAUACUCCGGUUGGUUUGGUCAUCAGAUAUAUCAUCAAGAACAUGGAAGAUGCAACAUCUAUGACACAGUAUGAUAGAAACCCAGAGAUUGCACCGGUUAAAGCCUUUCUUGAUGCAGUUGAACAGGCUAAAAAGUGCACCAGAUCAGACAUUGAGAAAUUGCGCGCUUUGAUUGCUGAACAUCAAUUAGUCCGAGAGCAUGUACCUACCGAUUUGCUGGACUCCAAAGAAGUUUGGGACACGAUGCUUCGCUUGAUGCCUAUGACAGCAAUGAUAAGAAACCUUGGGAAAAUGUCAAGCCUUGAGUUACUUGAGGUCGAUUCUUUUGGUGAAAAACUUGUGACCGAAAAGCUCGGAGACACCAGUAUCUUGAAAAGGUCUCGAAUUCAUCCAUUCACUAUUCUGAUAGCAUAUAACCAGUACAAAGCAGGUCGAGGUGACAAGGGAAAACUUUCAUGGCAGGUUAAUGAUAACAUAGUUAAAGCACUCGAGAAAGCUUUCUAUGAAGCAUUUAGUUUCGUACAGCCAACUGGUAAAAAAUUCUGCCUAGCAGUAGACGUGAGUGGCUCUAUGAGACAACCAGUCAUUGGUGCGUCGUCUAUUGAAGCACGCGAUGCAUCAGCUGCAAUGAUGUUAUUAACGGCUAAAACUGAGAAAGAUUAUGAAGUUGUUGCUUUCUCAAAUGAACUGACAAGAAUGGAUAUAAGAAAAGAAGACACAUUGGAGACGGCUAUUCAGAAGUGCUCUGAUUUGCCAUUCUCAAGUACCGACUGUGCCUUACCAAUGAAAUGGGCCAUGGAACAUAAGAAGAAGUUUGAUGUAUUCGUCGUGUACACAGAUUCUGAAACGUACUACGGAAAUAUUCACCCAGCAACUGCGUUACAACAGUACAGGAACCAUACCAAGAAUCCGGAAGCGCGGUUGAUAGUGGUCGGUAUGGUUAGCAAUGGUUUUAGCAUCGCCGAUCCCAAAGAUCCGCUAAUGAUGGAUGUCAUCGGCUUUGAUACUGAAGCUCCAAAGGCUAUGAACAAUUUCGUCAGUGGUAAAUUUUAAAGUUUCUGGACCAUUGGCAGACUAUUAUUUUUUAUAAAUUUAAUGUUAAUAGACGUGCCAUUUUCAGAUCGAUAUCAUAAUAUGUGUUUUUUUUUAUCAUGCAUCAUACUAUUUAACAUUGAAUUAAUUUAUUUUCCAUCAUAUUUUGCUUAUUAUUAAUAUCAAGAGCCAUAUUAUGGCAUAGAAAAAAACAAACAUUUAAUAGCUACAAUCAAGUCUGUUAUAAUUUUAUUCAUGACAAUAACAUUAAACGAUCUUUUACUAGAUCUGCGUCCCAGACGUUAUAAUUAUUUGGACUAGAUCUGACAAUGAUAUCCGACAUACAUAUAUACCCCAUAUUAAUGCAUAAUUCUAAAGCUGUUUAAGCAUGUCACAAUCAUUACUUUGUACGCAAUAAGGACUAUUCUUAAAUUACCCGGAAGAGAAAGGAGGAUGAUUGUAAAUAUAUAUCUUCUUUCGGUACUGUUUUUUGUUUGUUUAUCAGAUGUAUGUACAAUGAUUCUUUAAAUUGUUACCAUAAUUUUUUUUUUUUUUAAAUAUUAAAAUAAAAGAUUUAGAAGUCAAUUUUGUUCACCGGUCAUGGUUAUGCAAAACAAAGAAAAGCGAAAAUAGGAUAUGCAGGUCGGUAGCAUUCUGUUUUUUGUACGACCGCAAAAAACAUUUUGCGUCGUAUAUUAAUGGUAUCAUGUCGUCGUCUGCGUCGUCCAAAGACACAUUUAGUUUCCGGACAAUAACUUAAGAUUUUGUGAAUGGGUCUCUAUAAAUUUUUACCAGAAGGUUUAAUACCACUAAAGGAAAUUUUGGAUUGAUUUUGGGGGUUAUGGUCCCAAUAGUUUAGGAAUUAGGGGCCAAAAAGGAGGCCCAAAAUAAGCUUUUUUUGUAGUUUUCAAACAAUAACUUCUGUUUAAGUGUAUGAAUCUCUCUGAAAUUAUACAACAAGUUCCCAUACCAUGAAGGGAUGGUUAGUUAUGACUUUGGGGGGUUAUGGCUCAAAAUCAUUUGGAAUUAGGGUAAAAAAAAGGGGAACAAGGGGCAAAAAAGGGGGAAAACUAGGUUUUCCGGACAAUUUCUUCUCAGUUAGAUUUAGUGAAUGGAUCUCUAUAAAUUUUUACCAGAAGGUUCAAUACCACUAAAGGAAGGUUUGGAUUGAUUUUUUGGGGUUAUGGUCCCAAUAGUUUAGGAAUUAGGGGCCAUAAAGGGGGCCCAAAAUAAGCAUUUUUGUAGUUUUCAAACAAUAACUUGUGUUUAAGUGUAUGAAUCUCUCUGAAAUUAUACCAUAAGUUUCCAUACCAUUGAGGGAUGGUUAGUAAUGACUUUGGGAUUAUGGAUCAAAAUGUUUUGGAAUUAGGGGCAAACAAAGGGAGAAAACUAGGUUUUUCUGGUCAAUGGACAAAUAAGACAAUGUAAAGCAGUGUAAGGGAGGUAAUUCAAAAACAGUUAACAUACAAUGCUUGGUAUGUUCGGGUUAACCUCCCUUACACUACUUGUAAAUAAUGUAUAAAGAAAUGUCAGGUUUUGGACUUAUUGCAAAAAAAGGGGAUGGUAGAAGUUUCAAAUUUUUUUUUCAAAAUUUCUCAAAUUCCAAAUUUUUGAAAAGUUUGAAAAAGAAAUCUGUAAUUGCACAAUAUUGCGUAAUAGAUUUGUAAGAUCUUGACAUUUGUUUUGUGUCAGAAACUCAUAUUAUGUCAAGAAUUUGAUCACAAUCCAAAUUCAGAGCUGUAUCAUAGCUUGAAUGUUGUGUCCAUACUUGCCCCAACUGUUCAGGGUUCGACCUCUGCGGUCUUAUAAAGCUGUGCCCUACGGAGCACCUGGUUUUUAAUCACUUCGAGUAAUUAGUGACCACGACCGUUAUAAGUCUCCUACCGACGAAGUUUUGCACUGCGUCCACAGAUCAAGUUCGAACUCUGUUUGCGUCACUUCUACCGAUCUAUAGAGUUGUGCCCCUUCAUAAAUUUAUAAAUUACAGAAUUUUUCGUUUUGUUUCGUUUUCGUUUUCGUUCUCUAACUUAAAUUUGCCUCAACUAAAUGCUUAGAGCAAGUACAAAUUUGAGUAGCAUCACUUUUACAGUUCUUGAGUUAUGUCCCUUUAUUACGUUACAUGUAUAUGCAAGUGGGUGCAUCAUCUGUGUCCCAUGAACACAUUAAGUUAACCAUUUAUUUUUUAAUACAAGUAUUUCAUAUUCACUUUAUUUUACCAGUUUCUCUAUACUAAAAUGCAGAGUACAUCACCGUUUGUUAUGAAUUUCGUGUUAUUCAGGUUUUUUUUGUACAAUGUAGUUGAUGGCUGUCUGUUCUUUAUAUUUUUUUCUUUUGUCUGCAUUACCUUAUAACUUCGCAAUAUAAUAUUAUGUAUAUGUCUUCUUACUUUUUACAAGUUUGUGGUCAACCAGAGAAAUUUCAUCUUUGAAACACCGGGUUUGAUAAAUGGAUGGUUGGAUGGAAAAUUAUUACACAAUUAUUGAGAAAAACACGCUAAUGCAUGAAUUUUUAGCUCACCUGGCCCGAAGCGCCAAGUGAGCUUUUCUCAUCAUUUGUCGUCCGUCGUCGUCGUUAACUUAAAAAAAAAUCUUCUCCUCUGAACUUACUGGGCCAAAUUUUACCAAACUUGGCCACAAUCAUCAUUGGGGUAUCUAGUUUUAAAAAUGUGUCCGUCCGGUGACCCGGCCAACCAACCAAGAUGGCCGCCAUGGCUAAAAUAGAACAUAGGGGUAAACUAUAGAUUUUGGCAUAUAUCUCUGAAACCAAAGCAUUUAGAGCAAAUCUGUCAUGGGGUCAAAUUGUUUAUCAGGUGGAGAUCUAUCUGUCCUAAUUUUUUUAGUUGAUUCGGACAACCCGUUGUUGGGUUGCUGCCCCUGAAUUGGUAAUUUCAAGGAAAUUUUGCUGUUUUAAUACGACCGCAAAAAUUGAAAAUUUUUUGGUCGUAUAUUGGUAUCACGUUGGCGUCGUCGUCGUCGUCGUCGUCGUCCGAAGACAUUUGGUUUUCGCACUCUAACUUUAGUAAAAGUAAAUAGAAAUCUAUGAAAUUUAAACACAAGGUUUAUGACCAUAAAAGGAAGGUUGGGAUUGAUUUUGAAUGUUUUGGUCCAAACAGUUUAGGAAUUAGGAGCCAAAAGGGGCCCAAAUAAGCACUUUUCUUGGUUUUCGCACAAUAACUUUAGUAUAAGUAAACAGAAAUCUAUGAAAUUUUAACAUAAGGUCUAUGACCACAUAAGGAAGGUUUGAAUUGAAUUUGGGAGUUUAAGUCCCAACAGUUUAGGAAUUAGGGGCCAAAAACAAGUCCCAAAUAAGCAUUUUUUUUGUAUUUGCACAUUAACUUGUAGUAUAAGUUAAUAGAAAUCUAUGAAAUUUUAACACAAGGUUUAUGACCACAAAAGGAAGGAUUGGAUUGAUUUUGGGAGUUUUGAUCUCAACUAAUUAGGGACCAAAAGCGUCCAAAAUUAAACUUUGUUUGAUUUCAUCAAAAAAUGAUUUAUUGGGGUACUUUGAUAUGCCAAAUCUAACCGUGUAUUCAGAUUCUUAAUUUUUGGUCCUGUUUUCAAAUUGGUCUACAUUAAGGUCCAAAAUUAAACUUAGCUUGAUUUAAAAAAGAAUGAAUUCUUGGGGUUCUUUGAUAUGCUGAAUCUAAACAUGUACUUAGAUUUUUGAUUAUGGGUCCAGUUUUCAAGUUGGUCCAAAUCGGGGUCCAAAAUUAAACUUUGUUUGAUUUCAACAAAAUUUGAAUCCUUGGGGUUCUUUAAAAUGCUGAAUUUAAAUAUGUACUUAAGAUUUUUGAUUAUGGGCCCAGUUUUCAAGUUGGUCCAAAUCGUGGUCCAAAAUUAAACUUUGUUUGAUAUCAACAAAAAAUGAAUCCUUGGGGUUCUUUGAUAUGUUGAAUCUAAACAUGUAUUUAGAUUGUUGAUUAUAGGCCCAGUUUUCAAGUUGGUUCAAAUCGGGGUCCAAAAUUAAACUUUGUUUGAUUUCAACAAAAAUUGAAUAUAUGGGGUUCUUUGAUAUAUGCUGAAUCUAACCAUGUAUUUAAAUUUUUGAUAUUGGACCAUAAUAGGUAAAUGUCCAAUUUAAAAUUUUUAAGAUUUUAAGUUUAAGUUCUUAGACCACAUUCAUUCUGUGUCAGAAACCUAUGUUGUGUCAACUAUUUAAUCACAAUCCAAAUUCAGAGCGGUAUCAAGCUUGAAUGUUGUGUCCAUACUUGCCCCAACAGUUCAGGGUUCGAACUCUGCGGUCGUAUAAAGCUGCGCCCUGUGGAGCAUCUGGUUGGCUCAUAUCUCUGAAACCAAAUCAUUUAGAGCCAAUCUGACGGGAUAAAAUUGUUCAUUAAGUCAAGAUCUAUCUGCCACGAAAUUUGCAGAGCAAUCAGGCAACUAGUUGUUGGGUUACUGCCCUGAAUUGGUAAUUUUUAAGAAAAUUUUGCUUCUUUUGGUUAUUAUCUUGAAUAUUAUUAUAGAUAGAGAUAAACUGUAAACAGCAGUGAUGUACAGCAAAGUAAGAACUACAAAUAAGUGAACAUGAUCAAAAUGGUCAAUUGACCCCUUAUAGUUAAUUUUAACAAUUUUCAUAAAAAAAUUUUUUUUACAAAAUAUUGUCCCCUGUAACUACUGGGCAAAGUUCAUUAUAGAUAGAGAUAAUUGUAAGCAGCGAGAUUGUUCAGUAAAGUAAGAUCUACAAACACACCACCAUCGCCAAAACUCAAUUUUGUUAUGAAUCCAUCUGUGUCCUUUGUUUAAUAUGCACAUAGACCAAGGUGAGCGAUACAGGCUCUUUAGAGCCUCUAGUAUGUGUAUGCACAAAUCUGUUUCGCGGAAUCUUUUCAACGUUAUCAUUGUUACGGACAUGUGUGCAACAUUUUUUUUUAACAAAAAUAAAUCUUUUUUUUUUUUUUUUAAUUUUUAGCUCAAAUGGACGAAACGAAGGGCAAUACGACCUUUUCCCUUUUGUCAUUACUCUGCGUCCGUCGUGCGUUAACUUUCUUUAUAAAUCUACGCUUUAUAGACCCCUACGAGACCCACAUCAAAGGAUUUAAACUAAUGUGUUCUAGUCAAACUAUUGUAUGUGUUUAUGAAAUUUUUAUGAUUUCCGUCUUGAUUGAUCAACCAACAUGUUUACCGUCACUGAAAAUAUAACAUAGACAUUGUUGGCUGACAUCUCGAAAACUUAAUUCAUUAGAGAAAAAUAACAAAAUAAAAACGCCCAGCAAAUUUGAUUGUUGUUUGCUUUACGCCGCAUCAGCAUCAAAACAAGAUAUAUCUACCCUGUAGUUUUAUGAAAAUCUAUGGACCCGAUUUUUGUCGAGCCUUCGACUUUAGUCGAAAAAGCGAGACUAAGCGAUCCUACAUUCCGUCGUCGUCGGCGUCGUCGGCGGCGUCCACAAAUAUUCACUCUGUGGUUAAAGUUUUUGAAAUUUUAAUAACUUUCUUAAACUAUACUGGAUUUCUACCAAACUUGGACAGAAGCUUGGUUAUGAUUAUAAGAAAGUAUCCAGAAGUAAAUUUUGUAAAAAAAAAAUCUAUUUUUUCCGUAUUUUACUUAUAAAUGGACUUAGUUUUUCUGCGAGGAAACAUUACAUUCACUCUGUGGUUAAAGUUUUUAAAAUUUUAAUAACUUUCAUAAAAUAUCCAUGAUUUGUACUAAACUUGGACAGAAGCUUGUUUAUGAUCAUAAGAUAGUAUCAAGAAGAAAAUUUUGUAAAAAUAAAUUUCAACUUUUCCGUAUUUUACUUAUAAAUGGACUUAGUUUUUUUGCCAGAAACAAAACAUUCACUCUGUGGUUUAAGUUUUUAAAAUUUUUAUAUUGUUCUUAAACUACCCUGGAUUUCUACCAAACUUGGACAAAAGCUUGUUUGUGAUCAUAAGAUAUUAUUCAGAAGUAAAUUUUGUAAAAAAAAAAUCCACUUUUUCCGUAUUUUACUUAUAAAUGGACUUAGUUUUUCUUCCAGUUAACAUUACAAUUUACAUACAGUCUGCAGUUAAAGUUUAUAAAACAUUUAUUAGAUUCAUAAACUAUCCAGGAUUUUUACCAAACUUGGAAGCUUCUUUCAAUCAAAACACAGUUUCGAGAGGGAAAUUUUUAUUGAUGUUUUCCUCAUUUUUGUUGAGACUGCGAUUAACAGCAAAAGUAGGCGAGACACUGGGUUCCGCGGAACCCUUACGAAUUUUUAUCUUUAUAACCUAAUAGCUAUGUCAAAAGUUUAAAUGAUAAAAUUGAUAUGUAUAAAAUUGAGAAUAAAAAUGAGUCAAAAAGACAAAAACGCGACCAAAGUGCAGAAACAGACAAAGGCCACCAUUGAUUUGAUCUUCACUUGACACACACAGUGAAAAUAUCCCGCACCCGUAGUCGAACUUCAGCUGGCCUCUAAAAAAAUGGUCACUAGUUGAGUGAAAAUGGACGUCAUACUAAACUAAAAAAACAUAUAAAUAAACUGAAUUUACAAGAUCAACAAAGGCUAGAGGCCCCUGACUUGGGACAGGUGCAAAAACGAGGUGGGGUUAAAAAACGUUUAGUGAGAUCUCAACCAUCCCCUGGACAUUAGGUUUUUGAGUAAUUGCCGCUGAAAUACCCAUUUUUCCAUGAUAUGGAUCUGGCCCUUUAGUCGGGUUGUUGUAUAUUUGACACAUUCCCCAUUUCCAUUCUCAAUUUUAUCUUGGAUAUAUAUAUGGCGUAUAAAUCUCCCUUUGGAUACGAAAUUCCAGAGCUUGCAUUUCCUAUCAUGAUUUUCCUGAUAGAGUGUUGCUGCUUACAAAAAAGCUAUUAAACCCAAAGUUCCAAGUGGCGAAGUUGAAGUCGUCCCAUCGAAAAUUUUACGCAUGUCAUGAGUUGGUUGACCGUUAUUGUGUAUAUUUCGCAAAUGACGACGGAUAAGUUCCAAGUUCGUAACUACAGUCCCGUCUUCUUUUCUGAGAACGUGAACUACCGAAUGAUACUUUUCGUCGGAUUUGAGCAGAAUCUGAUUACUCACCUGAGACACCGGACUUUAUGAGGGUUCGUACUGCUCAGUGUUUAGUUUUCUAUGUUGUGUUUUGUAGACUGUUGUUUGUCGUUUGGUCGUAUUUUCUUUUUUUGUUUUUGUUUGCAAUUACAUUGUCGGUUCAUUAGUAAUUACCAACACAACGGGAUCCAUGAACUCUGACAAUAUCAGUAAAAUAGGUCAACUAUUUUUGCAUGAGUUCUUGCCCUUGAAAUACUAGUAUACACUUUUUGGGUCAAAGAUAUUUAUCAAUUUUCCAGAUUUUAUCACUAUGAUGAUAUACACAUAACUUCGUCGUUUUUCGUGUUUUGUUUUUGUGCAAUGAAGAUGUAAGUUUUUGUUCAACCUAUGAGUUUUAUGGGAACUACCAUUUAACUUCGGGGGGUGAGUGAUUAUGUUUUCUUUCAAAAAAAAUUUAUUCUGAUCCCCAAUUUGAUGAAAAAUAUAUUGUGGUCAAGCAGAUGACAAAAAAAUAUUCUGAAUCCAGAUUUUCCCCAUACCUUAUAGUGUUAAAUUUUGAAGAAAAAAAUAAUUUGAUUAACAGUGUCGAAAAACUUAAUGGUUGCUCCCUAAAUGUCAAAUUGGUAUUAUCUGCCUCUUUCUCGGUAAUCUUUAGGGAUAUGGUAUCGGUUAUCUACGUCUGUGCGUAUUUUGUAUCUAUUUUUAAGUCAACCGAGAUUGUAAUUUUUGCGUCUGAUUUUGCAUAUCAAGCUGUUAUGUAGAUGGAAUAUGGUGUAACAAAAAAUGUCUAUAAUCAAACUGUAAAUAUUUAGUGCUAACAGAAUAGUAUUAAUGCAUGGUUAUACAAAGCAAUACUUGUAAGAACACAAAAGAAAAAUAUGAGUGAAAACAUUGGUCUCUAAUCUAAGAAGCGACAACAUAAACAUUACAAAAUAGCACUCCAGGCAUGCCACAUAUACAUCAGUCAUAUUUCAUUUGUAAGAUUUCCUUUUGUAAGAUUUCCUUCUGAUAAAUAAUGGUCACAGUUCGAUUUGAUUUUGAUAAAGGGAAAAUACUAUUAGGCAUUAUAUGGAAAGAUAUAUAUUGAGAUAACAUAAAUUAGGCCGUUAGUUUUCUCAUUUGAAUUGUCAUUUCGGGACCUUUUAUAGCUGACUAGGCAGUAUGGGCAUUGCUCAUUUUUGAAGACCUAUAUUUGUUCAUUUCCUUGUUAUUUUGGUCUCUGUUGAGAGUUGACUCAUUGGCAAUUAUACCACAUCUUCUUUUUUUUUAAUCUGAAAAGCUUACGAAAAACCUUGAUUAUCAAAUCUUUAUGGAAGAAACUUGUUAGUGCCAUAUAUAUAUAACCUCAGAAUACACGUGUUAGCUAUAUGGCAACAUUCCAAAGCAGUCAUUGCAUGUGAAUGUUAGAGACAUGUAUAUAUUUAUGAGUUUAAUAUCCCUAUGCCGGUAACUCUCGCCUUUUUUCUUCACUCUAUGUGAUCAGAAUAAAAAAUUGAUUUAAGAAGAACACGAUUGGUGUUUCAGGUGUAAUAAAAGCGAAGCUAGUAAAUAAGUCAUAUAAUAAGUAAAAAAGAGCGAAAGUUUUUGUCUUAAUGGCUGCAUUUAUAGACAAAUAUUUUCCCUUUCAACGCAUAAGAUUAUGAAUAUCGAAGGAAUUUGUGAACUUGUCGACGCAUUUUUGUUAUGUUUUCAAGAAAGUAACGUCGUUCAGUAAUGCGACAUCUAGAGGGUCAAAACCCAAAAAGACAAUUAUUUCAAUCAUGGGUUACCAUUUGCACUAACAAAAUUAUUUUCUAGUUUACAUAAAAAAAAUUUAAAUGUACAUUGACCCGUUUAAAUAUAUCUAUAAAGAAAAAAAUAAUUAGGGACUGCGUGUUUCAAUUAUAACUUUUUUUUUUUUUUAUUCGGUUUAGAAUACAAAGGGAAGAUCUUUUCAAUACUUAAAACAGUUUUAAUAGGAUGUCUCUUUUAUGCAAAUGUUAUCUUUAAAUUCAAAAUCUUACAAAACAUUCGGGUUAAAAUAAAAUUUUAAAUUGUCAGACUUAUUUCUUGAUCUAUCACAUUUCAUGUACACCAUUGAAUAUCGCCCUUGAAUUUGUUUAUCUUUGCUGUGUCUUUUUCUCUCAUGAACUCCCUAUACUUACCAUGACAUAUAUAAUUUAAAAUAUAUAUUGUCAUUGUCCUUUGUAUGCAGUCAUAAACCAAAAAGACUCAUUUUGGUACGUAAGGUAUAAUUUCGCAAACCAAUUAAAAUAUAUUUAUAAACUGCUGUUGUAUUUAUUUGGUUUAUUAAAACACGACAACUUCAGAAAAAUUACAAGACAAUUUCGUAUGGAGAACUUUUCAAACAUCAGUAUUUUUUUCAUUUUCCAAAUGCAUUUCGUGUACAGCACAGUAGUAUAUGGUCGUCUGUUAAUUAGAUUUGACCAAAACCAUUACAUUACUUUGCCUUUAUAUAAUAAGAUAACUUCUUAUAAGUAAAUCAACUAAAAUACUGAACUUUAUUGCUUACAGAUCAAAAGCUCAUACAUAUCAAACGAAAGCCGAAAACAACUGUCAUAUAUGGCAUUGAACAGGCAUUUCCUUACGGAGAUGUGAUAUGAGUGCCAUUGAGACAACUCUCCAUCUACAUGUAUAUAGAAAAUGUUUGCUUAAACCUGGUUUUAUAUCUAGCUUAAACCUCUCACUUGUAGGUAUCACAAUAAAGGCAAUGUGAUCAAACUACUAGUAUCUGAUAUUUACUGUCACGAACUCUCAAGAUUUGUUUCAGAUUCUGAAGAGCCUUAUACAAAGAGCUAAUGUCCUUUUAGUUUUCUCAAACGAACGAAGUUAGAAAGACGAACUCAAUGUAUUUAACCAUGGUUUUCUAUUUUGCUUUCUAGCACGAAUUUUAAUUUAGACACUUUCCUCAUGAUUACUUAAUCUUCAUUAUAACUCAAUUGGUUUGAGUCAAUAUAAUACUUCCAUGGUUUGAGGUAAGUCUAUAUAUCAUUUCUGAUAAGCCACGCCUCCCUACUAACCUAAUAUGAAAUAUACACGGUCUCUUGGCGGACGCUUUUAACCAAUCAUAUUCUUAGAAAUGUAUAGGAGGUAGGAUAAAAGAUAAUUCCGUGGUUUGAGGUAAGUCUAUAUUAUCAUUUCUGCGCCUAUGUUUCUUAUGUACGAAUCAAGUAAUGAGACUCGGAUUUGCUUACUACAUUUAGGAGUCUCAAGUUGGAGUCAAAUCAAAAGAAUUUUCUGACUUAUAAUGUAUAACUGAUUGCAUUUGAGAUGGCAAACAUGAAAAAAAGUUUGACAGAAAGAAAAUGAAAUAAAAUACAUAAAUUUGCCACUAUCCCUCCCAAAAACCCAGAUGAAUGGAUUUAUAGUAUAAUUGCGCAUACUGCAUUUUUUACGCCGCAACUUGCCAUUUAGUGCAUAUAGACAAAAAUAAAUGAAAAAUAUUUAAUAUUAAAACAAAUAAGUGGUGUCAAAUAUAGAAAACAAUUACAUGUAUAUCUAGAGGUUACAUGUGAACAGUUUGUUGAUUUUACAGUUUGUGUUUAUUUAUUCUUUUGUCUCAUCCUCAGCUAACAUCUUUUUCAACAAGGCAACAAUCUCCCUUGUUUCUGAAAAACAGAAGAAAAAUCAUUAAUUGGGAUGGAAAGAAAAAUCAUUAUUUUACAAAUACUGACAUAACAGCCACUUUUCUUUACCUAUUAAAUCAAUGUUGUCUGCAUACACCAUAGACCACAAUGAAUGCACAGAAAUACUUGUUUAUUUUUUCGGAACAGCUGAAUUAUUUUGAGUUUUUAAUUCUAUGCUACAGUCACUUUUGUUUAUUUAUGAAUAUGUAAUGGAAAUACAUUCUUGUUUUUCGGUACUGCAUCCCUUAUCCUUGCUUCCGUUUGUAAUAUGACCUUGUCUGUCUGUCUUGUAUAUGUUAUAACUGUUUAUAUUCCAAGGUUCUACAGCCUUCUCUCACACAGGCACUUGUCUCAUGGAUUUACCUGCUACUUGAUAUAACAGCUGGACAGGCUGCUGUUGUCUCAGAAUCCCCCCUACAACUACCUAUAUAUAUAAUAUAUAUAUAUAUAUAGGGGGGAAAAUCUGAGACAAGUGCCUGUGUAAAAAACGCUUAGAUGUUGUCUUUUGUAAAGUAUAUUAUUCUUAAGUUAUAAAUAGAUAUAGGAAGAUGUGGUAUGAGUGCAAAUGAGACAAUUCUCCAUCCAAGUCACAAUUUAUAAAAGUAAACCAUUGUAGGUCAAGGUACGGUCUUCAAUACUUCAACAACCUUGGCUCAUACCGAACAGCAAGCUAUUAAUGCCCAAAACAAAUUCUAUUGUAAAACCAUUUAUAAGGGCAUACAUACACCACCAGCACGGGGACACAUUCUACUGCAUCCACAUAUAAAGCAUGAACAACAAACAAUAAAGUAAACAAUUCGAAAUACCAAUCUUUGAUACUUGAAAGAUAUAUAAGGCAACAGAGAAAAUAGAGUUCACAAAAGAGGCCUAAAUGAGAAGAAAGUUUUAAGCUCUUAAAUCAAAUAUCAUUGUUCUUAAAAUACAGUGUUUGUGUCAAUAGUAAUACAAAUGGUAUAUUCCUUCUCAAAUAAAAAAAAAUCAAACUUUCUUUAAGAAUUUUCGAAAGUCUUGUAUCGUUUGACAUGUAUGCAUGUAAACAUACGAGGGAAGGGAUAACAUUGUUUAUUGUGAAAAUUAUAUCCUGGUCUUCAUUUAUCCGUUGAUUUAUAAAUCUUCAAAAAAUUCUUAAAAAUUCUUUUUAAGAUAAAUUUUUUUUUCUUCUGUAUGUUAAUGUAGAUACAUACGAACUCUGUAUUGAAUAUCAUAAUUUAAACUUAACAAGAAAGUUACUCAUUGGUUCUUAUGUUACUUCAAAUUUAUUUAAAAUAAAAUACUCAUGGUAUAGUAUGAGUAGUGUACGCUUCCAUUCAAAACAAAACAUUUAGACAUUGCUCUAAACUGUUUCUUUACAUGGACAUUACUCAUUUAAGAAAUCUGGUCUGUGAUUACUGAGCUUUCUGUAUUCAAUGGAAUACAAAGCAUGCAACAUGAACAGAUUAUUUAAAUGAUUAAAGUCCAGGUUAAAUCAACGGUUUGAGCAAGUCUAAUAAUUUUUACAAAGACAGGUACUUGAAAUUCUUGCCGAUAAAACAUUCCUUGCAUUGAGGUGAGAUAUUUUUUGCUCCGUGUUAAAGGCUCGUGGUGUCUUUUGGAUGAAGAACAGCCAUCAAAGCGCUGUUCUUUUGCUUUUUGUGAAAGUGUGUGUGUGGGUUUUUUUUCUGCUAUGCAUGUACUGAUUUUUUGUCAUGUAUGGAUACCCCAUAUCCUUUGGUUAUAUUAUUAUCAAAACAUUUACCUUUUCCAGCACAAUAAUUGCAGCACAUGUCGCGAAGUUGUGAAUAGGUUGGACUAGUGCAAAUUUCCAUGGUUGUAUCCAUACCAUGGCAGGCAACUGGCUGCAUCACAUCAUCACCCGUACAGGAAUCUAAAAUGAAAAGAAAAUAACCAAGAACGCCCUAAAAAUACAUUGACAACUUGUGAAGCUUGUUUAAGCAAGUUUAAAUAUUUGGAAACACUUUAACACUAUAUGGAUAGAGGUAUAUUAUUGUCGAGCCUGAAAAAUUUGUUGCAGAAAGCUCGACAUAAGGAUAGUGAUCCGGCAGGGGCGGUGGCGGCGGCGGCGGCGGCGGUGUUAGAUAACUUCUUAAAAGCUUUAUAUUUUAGAAGGUGGAAGACCUGGAUGCUUCAUACCUUGUAUAUAGAUGCCUCAUGUUACGAACUUUCCGUCAGUCACAUGUCCAAUGUCCUUGACCUCAUUUUAAUGGUUCAGUGACUACUUGAAAAAAAAUUUCAGAUUUUUUGUAAUGUUAAAUUUUCUCUUAUUAUAAGUAAUAGAAUAACUAUAUUUGGUAUGUGCGUACCUUGCAAGGUCCUCAUGUCCGUCAGACAGUUUUUACUUGACCUCAACCUCAUGUCAUGGAUUAGUGAAAAAGGUUCAGUUUUGGUGGUCAAGUCCAUAUCUCAGAUACUAUAAGCAAUAGGUCUAGUAUAUUCGGUGUAUGAAGGACUGUAAGUGUACAUGUCCAACUGGCAGGUGUCAUCUGACCUUGACCUCAUUUUCAUGGUUUAGUUGUUCUAGUUAAGUUUUUGUGUUUUUGGUCUGUUUUUCUUAUACUAUAUGCAAUAGGUCUACUAUAUUUGUGGUAUGGAAUGAUUGUAAGGUGUACAUGUCUAGCUGACAGAUGUCAUCUGACCUUGACCUCAUUUUAAUGGUUCAGUGGUUAGAGUUAAGUUUUUGAGUUUUGGUCUAUUUUUCCAAUACUGUAUGGAAAUAUUUUAUGAUCUAUAUGUCAGUCGCACAGGUUUUAUUUGACCUUGACCUCAUUUUCACGGUUCAUUGCUCAGUGUUAAGUAUUAAUUUUGUGUUUUGGUCUGUUUUUCUGGAAGAAUUGUUAGCUGUACAUGUCUGCCUGGCAUGGUUCAUCUGACAUUGACCUCAUUUUCAUGGUUCAUUGGCCAAUGUUUAGUUAUUUUGGUUAAUGUUGAGUUUAUGUGACAGUUGUAAUAAAGCUUUAUAUUUAGGACUAUCAACAUAAUAUCAAUGAUUAGUAAAGAAGGCGAGACAUUUCAGUGUGUGCACUCUUGUACUGAUACAUUUGUCAAUUGAAUAAAUUUCUGUCCACCUACUAGCAUAUUCUGUAUCAAUAUUCUAAGUUCAAGAUUCAGGCCGGGGGAUGGGGGUCAUUGCCAAACUUACUCGUUAUUUAGACUUGUCCAGUGGUUUUAUUUCAAUUUGUCCAAAAAUAUAUUUGGGGUAAUAAACACGAAUUUAAGGUAACUAUAGUUAUUCUUUCAGAUAAAAAAAAAUAUAAAAGUAAACUAGAGAUGCCAGAGUACGGAAGCCAAUUUAGGACCUUCCAGUCCCUAUACACAAAUUUUAAUUAAAAAUAACAAAUUAAUUCGCCUUAACAGAUUAAAUUUGUGAUAAAGAAUUUCUGGAAUUAGUUAUAACGGUUUUUACAUUCGUUAGUACGAUAACGAAUUAUAAAAAAAAAAAAAAAAUGGACAGCAAAUUCAAUUUGAUCUGUUUUCACAAUCUUAAUCAGUAACUCCGAAUUACAAAUUAAAUGUGAUAUCAAAUUACAGACAUUCGUGAACUUAAUUCGUGAUACCAAAUUCUAUAAUUUCGUGAUUAAGAUUCAAUUCGAGAUAUCGAUUCGAAUUAUCUUUUUGAGAGAUCCUAAAUGUGUCUCCGUACAAGAGAGCAUAUAUACUAGUAACACUAUCUGCCAGGGUUGCGUUCAAUAUCGUAACGGCUAUGUAGUGCUACGUAGAUUUUUGUCAACUGAACGAGUAGCUAGCCUAGCUGCUAUCAUGGGCAAUAUCAGUGUAGUAGCUAGGCUAGCUACAAAUUCAAGAGUCAUAAAUCUACGUAGCCCUAUAUAGCCGCUACGAUAUUGAACGCAACCCUGGGUCUUUACAUGCUAACAAAACGUAGUUUCAGCCAAGAAAUUGAAACGUUGACUUUCCAUAAAAUUUCAACUGAACUUGGGUGCUUUGAAUAAUGUUAAAAUCUCAAUCUGGUCGAGUUUCAUUCAAUCAUACGGAGCCCCGCUAGGGACAUGCAAAGAAAAAAAAUACAUUGUGCGCACAAAAUAAUAUAGUGUGCGCACAACUUAAUUAUAUUUAUCAAAUUUAAUAUAUUUAAGUUGUGCGCACAAUAUAUUAUUUUGUGCGCACACAAUAUAAUUUGUUUUCUUUGCAUGUCCCUACCGGGGCUCCGUACAAUCACGAUUCCUACUAAAUUUCAAAACAUUUCUCUUUAAGUCUAAGAUUGUUGGUACUUUGAAAAAAAAACCAGUGGUUGCUUGUAGUUUUCAUUUUGUUUGUUUAAACAGAAUAAAACAUAUAUCGAUUGUAAAAUAAAACCUUUCCAAACAUCAUUCAUGCCAAGAUUGAAUAAAAUUUGCCAUGCAUUUCAGAAAAAUUCUGUAAAUAUUAUUUCACACAUAUAUGUUUUUUAUUGCAACAAUAUGCCACUAAAAUUCCAUCGACUGCUUGCAACUAUUCGGUUCAAUUUUGCCACCAGAUCAAAAUUGAAUGAAAAUUGUUUGUAGAAUGCUCCGAUCAACAAUACUUUUAAUUAAGUUGCAAAUUACUUUAAAAAAAUAUUACUCCACAUAAAAAAGUUCAAUAUUUAAUACAAAUCCUAUUUUUUAUUAACAAUUAUUCAAAUAAAGUAUAUAAAGAUAAUAAUUUAUUUUUGCAUCUUUUCUAGCAUUGGUACUGUCAGAGAUAUAUGAUACAAUUGUAUCAUAUGUCUCUGGCACUAUUUUAGAAAACUGCUUUUAAAAUUGUAUCAUAUCCCCAUAAUCAUAGCAUACUUACCAGUCCUUUUAGCAACAUUUUCCUUUUGAUGUACCAUGGGUUCCUCUUGAUUUCUUACAUGAUUCAAUGAAUAUCCUGUUGCUGCACCGAGAAAAAGAACCACUACAAUAGUCAGCUUCAUCAUUUUUAUUUUUUACCGAAGACCUUCAAGUUAUAACCUUCUUUGUCAGAUCGCCGUAGCUAAAUGUAUACACAACUGCGUAGCUAAAUGUACUCGACUGUUACCACAUCGGUAUAUAUAGUGUUACCAUGUCGCCCACGGAGUUCAGUCAAACUGGUUUUCUAUAAGUUUAAAGACUUUCAAAUUUUAGAUGAAAAUGAUAAAUCUGUUAACAGCAGGUGUGUAAUAAACAUGGAGUUGACAAAAAAUCAUAAAGUACACUUCUCUUAUGUUUAUGAAUUAUAAUUUGCAAAUGAAUGACAUAAGUAUAUCUAUAUUUCACAUUUAUAGGUCUUUUAAAGUAAAUAUUUGUACGGAGCCAUACAAUGAAUGCUCCACUGUAUAUAGGAAGAAUUUAAAGGCACUAUUCUAAUAAAGAAAUCCUAUUAAAAGGUCAUAUUAGCUUUCAAUGGUGACAUUGAAAUAUUCAUAAUAAAAAGUAUAUUCACAAAUGUAAAAAGCUUUUCACGAAAUAUAUGUUAAAACUUUAUUUUUUUUUUAAAACAGCUAUGCAUUUUCAAAAAACAGUGUUUCACUAGUUUUAAAAUUUAAGAAGUCACUUGUAAACGAUCAUAAAACUAUGGUUAAAUAAAAUGAAGGGGAGGGGAUUAAUACACACAAAUAAUUAAACAUUGUACUGAGAAAGGACAAGGUAAGAUAAGGUACGUUUUUGCCCGCCCAUCCCCCCUCCCCACUGUUUUCUCAUUUUUCUCAUUUUGUUUUGGAAAUCUACUUAUCACGUUAAAAUAUUUCCUCACCUGUCCCAGAUGCUAAAAUUAGUGGUUUUGAAGUUCAUCCAAACAAACUUUAAACCUCAGGGAAUAUUUUAACAUAAUAAGUAGCUUUCCAAAACAGAAUUUGAAAAAUGAGAAAAUAGGGGGCCCAAAAACAGGCCUUAUCGUACCUUGUCCUUUCGCGCAAUUUCAUUUUGAAUGUCUACAUGUUUGUAUGAUGCAUUUCAUACAAACUUUAAAAUAAAAAUUAGCUUAAAACAAUUUUAAAGGGGUUUGGAGAUUGAAGUCAGUGUUCGUGUUUGUAAACAAACCAUGAUUAUAACAAAUAUUUCAUCAAGCUAAUACCCUAUUAUAAUAUUUAUCUUAUUACUAUGUCGUAAAAUGACUAUGGAAAACUACCGACUGACUUACAUCAUUAAAUAUUUGAAGAUUGACAGAUUAAAUUUGAAUGUCAGUUUAACACCUGACUUGGUUUUCUAAAGAAAUGGUAUUGUCAGUAAAUAAAUUGACCUUAUAGCUAGCAAUAAAUUCUAUUGUACAAUAAUUUACCAGUUUUGCGAACACAAGAAAAUGAAAACAUUGAAUUUAACACGAAAAUGUUCCGAAUCACGCAAUAUCAAAUAAAAUUUGUUACACUUUUGUUUAAAUAUCAAAUAACGACUAUACGUGAUGAACAAAACCAAUACAAAUAAAAACCUGAUAUUUCAUUAUUCAGAGAAUUAAAUAACUAUAAGUUAAUGUUAUUUGAUAUGCUUGAAAACUGAUAUAAAGAAGGAAAAAUGUUUGCCAAACCUUUUGUAAUAAUUAAAUACGAAGGGGAAAAAAACUUUGUCAUACGUCGUUAUUACCUUUAUUGAUAAAGCAUCAGGUUUCUCACAUACUCAUUUAAAAUUCUUUUCAUAUCAAAAUCUUAAAUAUACACUAACAUUGAGAAACGAAACGGGGAAUGAGUCAGAGCGACAACAACCCGACCAUAGAGCAGACAACAGCCGUGCUCUAUUGUCGGGUUGAAAGCACGGCUGUUGAAUGAACCUAUGAAUGGCACAUCUGUUUUUAGAAUAUUUGUUGUGAUGCUGCAAUACAUUGAGGCGUUGAAAUAUUUUCAUUUAUACGACAAUAGUGUUCGUCCAUGGUGAGAUUAUUUGUUGUGAGACUAUAUAUAAUCAAAUAUUUAAUCUGUGUACUUAUUUGUAAAUCUCUAUUCAGAGAAUACAGAGAUUUGUUUUAAGGAACAUUUAGGUUUUUCAAAAUUAUAGAAGGAACAAUGAUAUGCCGUUCUACUUAGAAUAAUUUUCAUAACAGCGUAGACAAGACCAUUUCUUGGCGUUCUUAGGUUAUCAAUUGACUGGGUCAGAUUAGGUGAACGAUCAUCAGUCAGUUUUCAGCAUUAUUUCAGUUAGCUAGUCUAAACAGUUUGAUGAAAAUGUUUAUAUUUUACAGUUUGCACAAAAAUUAAAGUUCGCCGUGUCUGCUUGAAUAAUAUUACUCUAAGAAGGUUUGGAAAUUCGAGCUAGAUUUGUCACGUUUAUAAUAUAUGAUAUUUCCAUAAUAUUUAUAUAGCUUUAGGUAGCUUUGAGCCUUCCGCCAUUUGAUUACGUUUCUUUCUUAUCAGUUUUAAUGCAUUAAUGGGUUAAUUUACUUCAAGGUCUUUUUGGUGAUUACUAUCUGUUUUCCUCAAUAAUAAAUGGCCUUGAUGACGGUCGAAAACCAAGUGACAUUAACAUUGGUGAUAGGGAGAAACUAUAUUUUACAUCUUUUUGUUUCCAUCGGCAUUUCUCUCAUCUUUUUAUAUACAUCGCAAAAGAUUCAAAGUUAUCUAUAGCAUGCCUUUCUGUUUUGAUAUGUUUUUAACGUUUAUGUCCAACUUAUCUGUGCUAGUGCUCGUUUACUUAACAUACACAUUACAAAUGAACCAAAAUUUAAAAAAAAAAAAAAUACACAUAAGAUUAAAAAAGGCUAGAGGUUCUUGAUUUGGGACAGAGACAUAAAUGCGGCGGGGUUAAACAAUAUUGUUGUAUUAUCUAAUAUUGUCUAUUAUCUUGAAAACUGCUGUUUGAAGACAUAUAUAAGCUAUUAAUAAUGCCAUUUAGAAGCUAUUAAUAAUGCCAUUUAGAAGCUAUUAAUAAUGCCAUUUAGAAGCUAUUAAUAAUGUCAUUUAGAAAGUGGUUGGAAAAUCUACAAGAACGCCUUAAAAGACAAAAAUUUUCAGAUGACUUAUAAUAUUCAAAAUCAAAAUCUGUUCUAUUGCCUUGCAAGUUUAUAUUACAUCAAUUAAAAUUUAAAAACUACUCCCUAUGGAAAUAGUAAUGAUUUGAUUACACUUUUUUUGAAGAUUAACUUAACCGGUAAGUGCAAUAUUUCAUUAUGAAGGAACUUUUGUCAUAUCUUGUGGGCGUAAUUGUCCAUAAACACUUUCCUUUUUGAAAAGAGAGCUCAUAGUUCAUUGACUAUGAUGCUCAGCAAAAUUUCUUAACAGUGAACAUUCUAAUAUUAAUGUUGUUUUUGUUGAUUCUAAAUCGUUUCCUUUUCAUAACUACUCUCUUAAAUACUCAGAGUAAAGACUGUCUUAGUUAAUAGAUUAAACGUUUUGCCUAACGACAUUGCUUUGAAACAAAAAUUGUUACUCGCGGAAAGAAUAAUUCUAACAUAGAGUUUAAAGAUUGUGUAUCUCUUAUUAUAUUUGAUAUUUCUUUGUGAUCUUAUGUUGUUUAGAUAGAAGUGUUUCAACUACGCAUAUAUACGUAUUGAGUAAUGCCAAUUGAUUGACAACACUAAACACUGGACUAAGGGCUUUUACAAAGAUUCGAUAUUUCAUAUAAAAUAUAGAGUUUGAUGUGUUAUUUUACUUGUCGAAUGCAAACAAAAGAAAAACGAGUUUAUUUAUUAACUAAAGAAAAUGACAUAAAAGGAUUCGAUAUUUGAAUGUGAAAAAAAUGAUGGUAUAUUAGUAGUCGAAAAUUAGUGAAUAGGAAAAAUAUAAGUCAUAAAACUUCGACAUUUUAGUUUAAUGUCCUCUAACGUAGUUCCUGUUUACAUUUAUGUAGAUGACAUGGUCGAAUAACGAUACAUGUAUGUAGAUGACAUGGUCGAAUAACGACCAUGUCAAUACAUUCUGUUAUAUUCAGUUUAGAUUGUCUUGCAAAAUCUUGCCAAAAAAGUUUUCCAAUACAGGAGUUCAACAAAAUGUAUUAAUGCAGAAUAACAUUAGCCAUCGUUCAGUUAUGUGGUUAAUAUUAGCCAAUAGAACCACAAUGAUUUAUUUCUGUUUUGAAACGAGGAGUCAAAUAUAACUUUCACAGAUUGUAGCUAUUUGUUCAUCUUCGCUAGCGAAGAUGCUAUUUGUUGUGUCAUUUACCAAAAUUAUUACCUCUGCUGGCCCCUUUUGGUCUGGAAAUAUUAAUUUUUUUUAAAUUUCUUCCAAACAAACAGCUACAUUCUUCAAAUUAAGACAAAACAUUAUAAUAUAAAGAAAUAAUAAGCAAAUAGAAAAAAAAACUUGUUAAUUGCUGUGCUAUUUUGGUCUCUUGUGGAGUCCGAGAGUUGUCUCAUUGGCAAUCAUACCACAUCUUCUUUUUUAUAUUCACAUGAAAUCAUCGUGACAUAUAAAGUUAUCUUGCACAUUAAUCCAAAGAACCAACGUUAUAAAGAACGGUAAUCGUUACAAUAGAGUAGGGUUCAUAAUUGUGACCAGCCACGACAUAUCCAGGCUUAUGGAGGUAGAACGUCAUUGUGAGAAAAACGCCGUUAACUAUUAUGCAUCAAUAAUUACAUUAGAUGUAUGUUUCAUUAUAAUAUUUUAUUCUGAUUGGCUAACUGCACAUCACGUGUUAUUCCGUCAGCAGUUGCAUUGCUCAAUACAACUUUUCACUCAUGAUAACACGUGCUCCAACAAUAAAGUGCACAGGUGAAUUAAAUAAUAAAAUAUAAAAAAAUGGUGUUUUCAUGAUCAUAGCUAAAAAAUUCAAUUAUAAGUAUUGAAUGCUUCUUUUUGUAACUUUAUAGGGUUGUAAAAGCGUUGACCGUGCGUACAUUUUUAGAAUGAAGCGCGGAAUACAAAAUGUACUUAGGUCAACGCUUUUACACCCCAAUAAAUAUACAAAAAGAAGCAUUCAAUUCUUUUAUUUAAAAAUAAUAAUGUUAAAAAAAGAUUAUAUACAAUUUAAAAUACAAUAAACAAUUAUGAUAUGGCAUUACAGUACAAAUAUGAUGGUAAUAUUAAAAGUACAUAGAUUUGUAUUUAUGUUUAAAUUCUGAUACUGUAUUUGAUUUUUUGAUUGAAUUAGGAAGAGCUUCCACACUUUUGGUCCAGUAUACGAGAAACUAGACUUAUACAACUCUGUAUUUGGUUUUGGAAUAAUAAAAUUAUCUGAGGAUGAAAAUCUGGUAUUAUAUUUUGUGUUUACUGAAGCUGAUACAAUAAGAUUGGACAUAUAUUCUGGAGCUAAGCCAUGUUUUUCCUUAUACAUUAGUAAUGAUUUGUGAUAAAGUAUGUUCUCUUAUAUGCACUUGAUACGGUGCAUUUAUUAUGGAUAUAUUUCAGAAUUCAUUUAUGAAAGGAAAUCUAUAGAGCAGAAAUUCGAUAUUUUUUUGUAUCAAUUUAAAAUGUUUACUUCAAAAGUAAAACUUCUUCAUAACUUAUAUAUGAUGUAAAGUUCGGCGUCCGCAAAAAAGAAGCCAAGGAAAGUGUUCAUCUCUUCUUCACAAAUACAUUGAAUCUCGAUAUUUAUCAUGUUUAUAAUUUUUCUAACAAUGAUGUUCUACCUCCAUAAGCCGGCAAAUGUCAUGGCGGGUCACCGGUCACAUAUAUCUAUCAAUUUGAACUUUUCGACAAUGCACGUAUACACAGGUGUCAUUCGGUUUAACGAGAGAAAUGAUCGUGAAAGAAUAUCUAACGCCGGACAAGCAUUGAGAGACGAUUGUGAAAGUUCUGGUAACGGAUCGUGAAAGACAUUUAAUCGAGAAGACAUAUGAAAGGUCAAUACAUAUUCUAAUUCAAUUAAUUACACAGACAAAUUUACGACAAAAUAAAACUGUCUGUCAAAAUGGUUCAACAUUAUGAUCAGUAUGUGAGAAUAUCCAGUUUUAAAAGUACAUAGUUAUCAUACAAAACAACAAAAGGCAGAUUGCUUCUCGACAUUUCAAUGACAUAAAAAAUGUAAACAAACAUGAUUUUUUCACAAAUUCGACUAGAAAAACUACUUUAAUACGAAUUGAAUUAAUCAAAUGGUCCUCAUAAUUAUUUUGUAUAAACAUAAUCUGAAACUUGGUAAAAAAAAGAACUAUUUACACAAAAAUUGAUUUUUCGGAUCGUGAAAGAUCACGUACCGCAUUUUUGAAGAUCGUGAAAGAUCUCAUGCUACGAAGACGUUCAAAUUAUUCUUCAAUUAUAUCAUAAUUAAUUUUUGUCAUUGGUAUUGAGAAAAGUUAUUUAGGUCAACAUUCUCAAUAGCUUUAAGCUUUUCAAAGUAUUAAUAUUUUCAGAAAAUGAAAUGUAAAAUAGUUGGAUGAUUGUAGGAUGAAGCUUUUUAUUGUCAUUGAAGUACUCACUUAUCACGAGUUAUAGGAAACCCACUUUUGUAUAUUGGAUAAUAAAACUACAUGUCGUCAGACAGGAUUCACCUGACCCAGAUUUGCCUUAUUUCAUGGAUGGAGAUUAAUUUUUGGUCAACCCGUAUCGCGGAUUCGUUAAGCUUAGUAACUGUCUUUUGUAUGAUUUGAGGUACAUUUUCGACUUCUCAAGGUUUCAAAUAACACGAACUAAUUAAUGCAAUCUUCGGCAUGCUCGUUUUAUUGUCUAGCUUUUGGAUAUAUACUGUAUGCUAUUUCGUGCAUGGUGCCUGUCUGUCUGCUGUUUCAUAUAUGACCAUGAUGACGUAAUUGUAUUUGAUAUAUUGAAUGUUUAAGAUGUCUAUGUCUGGCUGUCGGUCAGGGUUCAUAUACUAUUUGCCUUAUGUUCGAAUUAAUAGGCCAAGCAUAACUUUUACAUUGUCAGUUCUAAAGCACUGUAAGAUCAGAAACACAUUUUUUUGGUUUACGGGAUAUUUGUAGAGAUCUGUAUGUCAUGAUCUCUGACCUGAACUCUUUUUAGAACCAUUGACAACCAAUUUAAAAAAAAGAAGAUUGGUAUGAUUGCCAAGAGACAACUUCCACACGAGACCAAAAUGACACAUACAUUAACAAUAUAGUCACCGUACGUCUUCGACAAUGAGCAAAGCCCACCGCUAGUCAGCUAUAAAAGGCUCCGAUAUGACAAUGUUAAAUAAUUCAAACGAGAAAAGUAACGGCCUUAUUUGUAUAAAAAAAAAAUGAACAAACACAAAUCUGUAACACAUAAACAAACGACAACCACUGAAUUACAGGCUCCUGACUUUGGACAGGCACAUACAUAAAUUAUGUGGCGGGGUUAGACAUGUAAGCGGGAUCCCAACCCUCCCCUAACCUGAGACAGUGGUAUAACAGUACAACAUAUGAACGAACUAUAAAAAUCAUUUGAAAAGGCUUAACUCAUCAGAUGGACAAAAAUACAUUAAAACGGCGCAUUUAGCACCUUUGACACUUCUAGUAAAACCCUUGAUAUUAUAGACGUUUCAAAAAUUAACUAUCAUAAGUAAGCAGACGAAACAUACAGCAUUUGCGCUCUGGUAUUCUAUAGUCGUAGUAUAUAGUUAAAUCAUCCACAUCUGCGUUGUAUAUACAGAACUUAAGAAAGUACUGUUGCACAAAAUGUUGGUUAUCGUUCAAUCUCAAAUUGCUCAUGAAAGAUGCUGUUUUGCUGUAAUUUUUUGUUUGAUGAAUAUCAUUUUGGUUUAAACGUUGCAUAUCCAUAUUAUUGGUUAAAUAGUGUCGGUCUGUCUGAAUUGCACGUGACCGAUUCUCAGAGCUGAAUCUUUCAAACUUAUUUAGAGACGUUUUUAGUUGUUGUAUUUUUAACUUUCGAGGUAAAGUGUUGAAUAAAAAAAGCUUUAUUGUCCAUCCUUAUCAAAAUAGUUACAGGCUUCAACCAGUUGCAGGUUUAUCAAAUGGCAAAAGAAAUACUGAUUUCUGAUUACUAGUAAUAAGUUUGGUCACGCAUUAUUUUUCACGAUCAAAAUAAUGCGUUGCCUGAUCUUUCAUGAUCAAGUUUGAUGGAUAUUCAACAAAUUCAAGGUUUUCAUAUACAAAUUAAUGCUGUACAGAAAAGUUUCUUGCAAUAUCAACUGAUCAUUACCAGAUUUUAAUUUUUAGAUUAAAAGAAAUGCCGAGAAAGUAGCUUUUUAUUUGUUUGCCGGUGUAUAAAUGACCAUAAAUCCACUUAUUCAUGGUAAUGGCAUCACAUUCUGACCUGACACUACGUACUUUAUAUUGCUUAAUUCUAUAGAAUUUAAUAUGCAAUGUUUCGGGUUCUUUCAGGAAUAUUCCCAGGUAAACCCUCAUUAGAGGACGACAGGUACUGUCUAGUGAAUAUCUAAUUGUACAUAAUUAAAUAAAGUUUAUCAAGAGAAAAAAAAUAAAUCAUAUAGACGGUGAAACACUUUUAAAGAAAGUAAGCCUCACAGGCAGACAGCUUUAACUCGAAAGAAUCAAAAUAUUUUAAUUUGGCAGAACUAUAACCAAUGAAUAUCUGUAGACAGAAUAUAUUCAGAAACAAAUUUUGUACAUGUUGCUAUUGUUUCUAAUAAUUCUCGUAAUUUGUAAAGGAAUUAAAUUCAAAUAGUUAUACAUUUUGUUCACCGUCUUCUUUGAAUAUAUUAGAUCCAUCAUUUCUCGUUCUUUUGUGCAAUUUGAUAUUAUUUUUGUAAGAUAUACUUCCAUAUAGUUAUAGCUCAUUGACAAUCAUAUUAUUUGUAAUCAGGUUGCAUGUUACCUUCUAAGGUUUGACACGAUUGGCGAAGAAUUAUAUAUUUUUGGUUGCUUAAAGCCCAGUGGCAAGUAUCUCAUGUAUGUGUAGGACGAUGAUAUAGUGAUGACCUAUGGUUGUUUGCUAUUAUAGUAGUAUAACUUCUAUAGUUCAUUGACAGUCAUAUUGAUUUAUAACUAGUUUUCAUGUUCUGUAUAAGGUUUGAAAUGAUAUAGCGAUGAAUUCUUGAUUGUGGUUGCUUAACAUCUAGUGGCACAUAUUCCAUGUUUUUAGGGCAAUAAUAUAGAGAUGACACAAGGCUGUUUGGUAGUAUAAACAAGAAAUAGACAUAAGUGAGUUUUUUUAUAUUAGUGUUGGUGCUGAUUUAAUGUGUAACAACAAUACAAAUUUAUAUUCCUGUAAAUCACAAUAAAUGUAUAAUAUUAAUUUUAUUUUUCGAGUAAUGAUGUAUUCCUAUGAUAUCGUAAGUCAUUUAGCCGACUCGCAGUCCGCAAACUUGCUUGUUUUUCUAUCGAGUGACAUUCAAGGUGGUGUAGAGAAAGGUUGAUGUUGAAAGGUUUUUGUCUAUAUGUGUUUGCUUUAUAAACAUAUUUCAGUUCAAUUGAUAAAAAAAACCCAAAACAUUACGAAGUUUAUCUCUGAUUUAUAUACUUGUUAACUAUGUAAAUGACAAAUGGGUGCCAUUCAUAUCAAUGAAAAAGAAUCCACAUGAUAUAUGCGACCAGUCUUUGAUGAAAUUAAUAUUACUUUGAUUUUACGAUUUUUAAAAUCAUUUCUAUCAAUUUUCAGAUUUCAUUGUCUAAACUUAUGUUCCAUUGUUCAUGUUUUGUUUCCAUUUAUUCUAGCCACUAAUCUUCAGCCUAUAUAGUUAUAAAAGGUACCAGGAUUAUAAUUUAGUACGCCAGACGCGCGUUUCGUCUACAUAAGACUCAUCAGUGACGCUCAUAUCAAAAUAUUUAUAAAGUCAAACAAGUAAAAAGUUGAAGAGCAUUGAAGAACCAAAAUUCCAAAAAAAAUUGUGCCAAAUACGGCUAAGGUAAUCUAUGCCUGGGAUAAGAAAAUCCUUAGUUUUUCGAAAAAUUCAAAAUUUUGUACACAGGGAAUUUAUAAAAAUGACCACAUUAUUGAUAUUCAUGUCAACACCGAAGUGUUGACUACUGGGCUGGUGAUACCCUCGGGGACGAAACGUCCACCAGCAGUGGCAUCGACCCAGUGGUGUAAAUAGUUAUCAAAGGUACCAGGAUUAUAAUUCUCUUUAUUCAGAUAACAUCCCAUAUAGCAAUUAAAUUAUACUUGUAAUGUCAUUCAUAACUCUUAACAGACCAAUUAAGAGACCGAGUUUUAAACAUCCGACCCAUUAACAGACCAUAUUUUUAUAAGAAAUUGAUUUUUGUCACCAAAAUACAGUUUUUCGUGUAGAUUUUUCACAUAUUGAUGUUAACAUGGUAAACAAACAUAAUGCCAGUCUUUUUACGAUGUUCAAAAGAUUGCAUACAAGUAAACUCAACCAACUUGUCAUUUUUGUGUACAUUUUGUGUGUGUAAAAUGUGUAUAAAUUUACUGAUGAGUAACUCGCCUUUUCAUUUUAUAGAUCGUUUAUUGAAGCUAGAAAAAAAAGAAUUACACCACUGGAUUCAGCACUCCAAAUCAUUUUGUCAGACAUGAAUAGUUUAUAUGAUAUAAAUAUAAUUAAAAAGUUAUACAAUGAAACAUAAUGAUCUUGCACUGAUUUUCACGAUAACACCUGAUUAACAGACUUUAGCCAACCCGAUUAACAGACCCACCGCCGAUAUAGCCGCAUACUCAAUAUAGAUUAACCGACCUAUCUCUCGGUUAGCCGAGUGUCGGCCGUGGUGUACACUGAUCAAUACCUGCAGAAGUGAAACGAUGCGUGAACUUGCAAGCCCGACAGGAAAUCGCUUGAAUACCUGGACGUGUCACCUCACACCCCUCACAAUACCUUUGGAAGUAAUACCUUUAGCCAUGCUGGUAAUCAGAAGAGGGAAGAUAAAAAUUUAUUUGAAAACGGUUUAUUACUUUAAAGAAUUAUGAACAAAUUAGAUUUUCGAAAACAAUUUUCACGGAACACUUAUUUAUGAUUUCAACUUUGACUUUUCACCUAAUUCCAAUAUCAAGUUUAAAAACAACAGACCAUGGUUAGUUAGUCGGAUAAAACAACCGUACGAUUGACAAGAUAUCGACACGCAAUUACGACUACAUCGGUUACUGUAGUUUUGUUUCUUUGUGGUUUAUAGACAUGUCGUUUCAUUAAUCGGGAAAGAAGGACAAAAUGGCGGAACUCAGAGAAUUAAUACUCUAAAUUUAAAAUCGAUGGUGAUCGCUUAUCUAGCGGAAUAAAACUUUAAUAUCUAUGAAUUUGAGCAUUUUUAUACAAAAUGAACAUAAUAUCAAUUUUUGAUUUUUUUGCGAAGUUUCCCUUUAAAAGCAUACAUUUCCUUAGGCGGCAGAAAAUAAGAAUGAUGACUCGGUACAAAGGAAAAUACAUACCGGAAAUAAACUCCUCAUAGAUACCAGGAUUGAAAUUUGAUAUUUGCGCCUUAUAUUUACGCCAGACACGCGUUUCGUCUACGAAAAAAUCAUCAGUGAUGCUCGAAAAUUUUUUUAAAAGGCCAAAAAACAAAGUUGAAAACCAUUGAGGAAAUACAACUAAUACCGGCGUCACACAUCAGCGUAUAGCUCCGGCGUGUUAAAAAUCAUUUACGCUGCCAGUAUGCUUUAAGCGUGUGUUGGGUGUACUAGAAGCGUACCUAAGGCUAAGUAAGCGUUUAUCCGGCGUUCAAGAAACGUAUGUUGGCGUAACGUUGUAUGCUUUUUAUGCUGCAUAAAAAAAAUCCUCGGGUUGUAGCGUUCAUCAAGCGCAUUUACUUUCCUUCAGAGGCUAGAGGUAUAGGGGGAGGUUUGAUAUCUCAUAAACAUGUUUUUCCCCUUCGCAAUUUUGCGCCUGUCCCAAGUCAGGAGCCUCUGGCCUUUGUUAGUCUUAUAUGAUUUUUAAUUUUAUCUUGUGUAUAAUUCGGAAUUUAUUAUGACGUCCAUUAUCACUGUAUAAAUAUACAUAUUUUUAAAGGGGCCAACUGAAGGGCGCCUACGGGUGCGGGAGUUUUUUUCAACAUUGAAGACCAUCGGUAGCCUUUGUCUGUUGUCCGUUCUAUGGUCGGUUUGUUGUCGCUUUGACACAUUCCCCAUUUCCUUUCUCAAUUUUACCUUUGUAUUUCGACGUACUUCAAACUUAUGCAACGCGCUUUGAACGAUUGCUAAGCGUUCUUAUGGCGUGCAACUAACGUAUACCGACUUUGUCAGUUUUCUCUGUAACGUUUGGUGCACGCCGGUCUAUCCGCCAAUGUGUGACGCCGGCAUAAGGUAAUCUAUUCCUGAGGUAGAAAAGCCUUAGUAUUUCAAAGAAAACGCAUGGAAUUUAACCAGCUGCAUUGCAACACAUGACAGAUUCAUAGAUGUUACAGACUUUGAACAGACAAAAAAAUAAGGCUGAUUGAUAACUUGGCGUAAAUAAUAAAUUCAUGCGAAUUCGAGCGGCCAAUCAGUCCAUAUAACGCUUAUUUGAAGUGACACACCCUUUUAAUGAAAUGCAGAGAAAAAAGUGCUCUUUCCAUAAGGAUACUGUUGCACCGUAUUGUAAUUUUUUCGUCACAAGUACAUCUCAUUUUUUUCAAUGUGAAAAUAUAAACUCAAGGUAGUAAGACUAUUGUCGUGGCUAAAUAACUCUUAACUGACACGAUUUAAAUUGUCCAACCCAUUAACAGACUGUAUUCCCCUAAUAUUCAUUAAUAUGUGGUAUAACUCAACUUAUAUAACAAUUAUGAAAUAUUUAUUAAUGACAAUUGAUUUUUUAGAACCAAAGUACUACUUUGUGUCCUUUAAAUCAUAUCUAAAAAUGUUUUUUGGCCUUUUAUCUAAAAUAUUGCUAUGCGUACAAGCAUAAAAACCACAUACUUGCGCGACGCCUUUUCGUUUUACUUAAAAUUGCGCAGGCUAUGCAUUUUUUUUAAUGGUGGAAAAUGUUCUAUGAUAGAUAUCAUUUUGUCAGACACUUUUCUUUUUUUGAUGUGAUUCUCAUAAUAUGCCAAAAAAUCUGUAUAUUUAACAGAGUUUGACAUUAAAUUUUGAGUUUUACUCUUAACAGACGUAUAGCCAACCCGAUUAACAGACCAACCGCCGAUAUAGCCGCAUACUCAAUAUAGAUUAACCGACCUAUCUCUCGGUUAGCCGAGUGUCGGUCGUGUACACGGCUGAUAACAUUUAACUUUCCAUUUUGAACUAUCAGAUGUAUAAUAUACAACUCUGUCUUACUUGUCAUUACCAAACUCAUACGCUUGUUUAUAAAUAACAUUUCUGGUGUAAAUAAUAUUAUUCAUAAAAAUAUAAAUAAUACCCAAAAAAUAAGAUUUGAUGAAAUUAAAAUCUAUUUAAAUAUUUUUUCCCAGGGUGAAUUUGGGAAAAUGUAAUAUAUACUCAUUGUCAAAAGUGAAGGACAGAUUGGAACAUACCAGAAAUAUUGAUUUAAAAAUAUGUACGCACUUGCCGACGAUUCGUUUAUACGACUGGAUAGAAAGUUACGGAACUAUAGCGCAAUUUAAAAUAUAUACAUGUAUACAUUGAACAUAAGAAAAAAACAUAUAUUUUGAAUAAAUAGGGGUAAAAGUGUUGUAAAUAGACUAGUCCACGUAUGCCAACAGUAUGUAAUCAUCGAAUGUCGAUAGACUAUUGUAUACCAGAAGAACAAGAAGAGAACCAAUUUGAUUUAAAUACAGGUCGAUGUAUAACUUUUGCUUUGGUACAUUGAAGUUGUGGACAUAGUAAAAUCACAGAUUUAUAUUUCAAUAAGAUUGUUCUCGAACAAAGGAAGGAAUUCGUCAUCACAAUUGUUAUAUAUGCCACUGGACGAACACUAAUUAUCCCGAAGGGAUGUGAAUAUUUUGCUGGGAAACUUUUGAGUAUCAAAGUUUCAAAUUAAUUUCGGGAUUUAUUUUUUUUCUUGUAUUCAAUAACAGAAAAAAGAAAAAAUUACUUGUCCGCUAAAUAGGGGUAUUCUUGUCAGAUGAAAGACUUUUGUUAUAUUUAAAAAAAAUAGGGAAAUAUUCUCUAAAAACACCGCAAAGGACCUCCUUUGUGCACAAAGGAGCACAAAGGACACAAAGGAGCUUUAAGAGCACAAAGGACCUGAUUGUUUAUUAAAUGGGGGGAAAGGCAUUUUCACGAAAAAAAAGAUUUUUAUUAAAAUACUCGAGUUAUAUUGAUAUAAAGUUGAAGAUUUUGAAACCUUGUUUUCGGAUAUGUAUAAGAUUACGGCCAUUUUCGAUCAGAUGUUAGUAUACUUAUAACUAUAUAUUGAAAGGUAUUAAGAAGACAUAAACAUAUAAAUAAAGACUGGACAUUAAACCGGAGAGAAAAAAAUAAACUAACACUGUUUGUAAAGAUUUCAAUUUCACACAAUUAUUAAAAAGUUAAGUAAAAAACCUUAUUGCGCUUGUGAACAAAGCGUUAUAUUCUUUACAGUUAUUUCAGCGUUCAAAGACCGUCUUUAAAAACAAUAACAUUGUUGAAAAAAACAUUUAUAUGUAUUCAUUUAUUAAAAAACACACAAAAAAAAAGACUUCAGACAUACAAGGUUUCUAAAUAUAGAUCUUACAAGCGGCGAUCAAAGACUAUUGAAGUUAAAAAAUAGAAAUAUAAACCAUUUUAUAUCUUAACAGAAAUAAAAUAAUAUAAAAUAAAAUAGAAACAUUCAAAGAAAUUCAACAUGAAUCACUCUCAAUACAACUACGUGUCAAGUCUAUCUAGACUUCAACAGGUAUACUUUUUUCAAGUUUGUUUAAAAUUAUGUUUUUUUUUUUUAAACAUCGUUAAAAAGAUGUGUGUCUAAGGUGAACGCCACAAGAACCCUGUAAUACUAGUACGAGAGUAUAGCAUGUAAACAUUCCUUCUCAAUAAUAUGGUUGUAUUGGAAAUCUUUUCAUACAGAUUGACAACUCAUUGUCCGAUAUGCAUGUAAUAUUUGCCACAUGACGCCCAUAGUUCUUUCUACCAUCAUCAUCUUAUUCUUUGAUAUUGCUGUCAACAUCGAUGGUUCACACCCAAACAAAAUGGGAGUAAUGGACCUUCAGAGCUUCUCCGUGUUAUACACUUGUGAAAUAUAUAGACGAAAUUUCUGUAUUGAAAUGAAUAUACAUCUCACAAAAAGAAUUUUCAAAUAACGAUUUUGAGUAAUCACCUUACAAACCAAUAUAAACGUAUGGCAAGAUAUAACCAUGAAGGAAUUUAGUUUUUGUCAGACACAAGAACUCAUCACUAUCAUAAACGUAUACGUAUAUAUGCAUACAAUUUCAACUAUCAAGAACAAGCGGUCGAUGUCGAUAGUCCGUUUUCUAACUGUUCGAGUUAGACAUGUCACUUGUUCAUUCUUGAAAGACUUCAUAUUCCCCGUCUAACGAUGGGAACUGUUUCUGAUUGUGUUGACUAUAAAUGCUUGUAUGGUAAUUCUGUUGUUUAUCUGUACAAGCGGUUGCAUUUCCUCUCCUUUCCCAACAAACAAACGAACGAAACGCUACUAGUCUGCUUUCUCUGGAGCUCAUCCUCAAUGGCUCUUAUACGUCAGGAAACUUACAUGUAUACUAAUAAUGAUUGUUUUAAGAACAACGAUGUAUGGAUGAACUAUUCUAAAUUCGUCAAUAUCAGUUAUGCAUGACUAAAAUAUAACUUUUAUUACAACUACUGUAUUACUUAUUUGGAUUAAUGACGGCUAUCAUGUUCAACAUUGCACAACUAUUAUCAUAGAAUUAAAAAAAAAAAAUCCUCAAAAAUCCUUAAAAAAAAUAAUGCCUUAGCUUAGAUAAUUGGUAUUUUUUCACAAAAAGUUCGUGUAAAUGAUUGUCAAAUGAAUUUAAUUAUGUAAGAAUAAAAUGUUAAAAAGAAACUAAAAAAAAACCCAUGUAUGUUGUAUUUUUUUGUCAAUUAAAAACUUUAAAAUUGCAAUAGUUUCAUUAGCAUUUAAACACAGCCAGAUUUGAAUACAAGUUAAGAAAUUCCGGUAAAGUCCGGUGUGUAGAAGUACCGCAAAGGACUUCUUAGUGCACUAAGAAGAAAGUUUUUGCACUAAGGACACUAAAACGAUGUUUUAAGACCACAAAGAACAUGGAUAUAAGAGGAUACGAGUAUAUAACUAAGAAAUAAAAAGUUUGGUAUCAAUAGAUAUCAUAAUUUUGAAGUAAAAUUACUUUUUCAAUCAGCGCGUGCCACUCGGCACGUGACCAACGGCUUAUUGCAAAUUCCCAAUCAUCAAGUUCAAUCGUCUUCUGGUCGUUGCUAAUUGAUUAUAGUUAAUGAUAUUUGUUGAAUAAACAUAACCGAUUAGGGUGUAUUAAUUUCAAGCUGAUGAAAGAAAAAUAAAAAAAUGAAUUUUGUGUUUACUUUGCCUUUUGUUUUAUUUUGCUUUGAAGGAAAUUGCUAAGUAAACUUUUUUUAAGAAGCCAGUUUUGAGAUAUAAAUUGAGAAAAAAAUGCUUCUGAGAUACCUUGAAAGACAUUUGAGAGUAAAACAUGUUCUUCAAAACCCGAUUAUAGAAGUGAUAAAGAAAGACUUCAAGAGGUAAAUACCAAAAAGAGCAAGGCCGUAACUACCCUUGAGGCAAGUGAGGCAAUUGCCUCACUAAAAUUUCCACACUGAUUUUUUUUUUUAUACCUAUAUAUAAAUAUAAUGGUCAUUUGUUGUUCUGUCUCAACCUUAAUUUCUAUAACUUGUCAGCAUGGCAUUCCUUUUAAACUAUUUUUCCUGGAUAUAACUCGAUCAGCAUCUCAACGGGCGAUGUUUCUCGAUUACAUUAACCUAGUAACGAUAAUCAUCAUGGAUCUCUAGUUAAAAACAGGCUCUUGCAGAAAAAGGAAAAGCGACACUGAAGGUACAAUGUAAAGAAGGAAUAAUUCUAGUAAACUAGUUUUUUUGUGAACAGAGUCUGAGUAUUGCAUAUAAUUUCAUUAGAACAAUCCAAAAACGUGGUAAGUAGACUGACAAAUCAAGUACUGGUCUUCGGAAGGGGGCAGUCCUGUCUGCGUAUUCAUUUCUCCGUUUCACCAACUUUUGACAAAUCAAGUACUGGACAUCUGAAGGGGAAAGUCCUGUCUGCAUAUUCAUUUCACGAACGUUAAUCUUUCUCUUUACAGAUAAUAUGAAAUAUGCAUGGAUUAGUUUUUAUCCAUGUUUCUUUAACCUUAAAAAUUGAAAGAAUAUCUCAUAUUCCAAUUUGAUAUUAUUGAGGAAUGGUAGAACCUUUAACACAGGAUUUCGUCUUUACUUAUUCAGGACUACGGAAUUUCGUUUCCUUAUAUUCGGGGUUUCAGAAUCGGACACCCCCAACCCCUAACCCCUAAAUUUAUAGUUUGUGGAACUAAAUACCACCAACUAGUUCCAGAAAUAAUUUGAAAUUACGGACCUACAUGUAUGUAAACGUCAAAAACUCCAUUCCAAUUCCCCUGUACCCAUAUCAUAUACUUACUCUAUAGAUAGAAUCAUAUACAUGUAUCUUAUCUCAUUCUAUCCCUAGUUUGUCUACUCUUUGUAAGCAUAAAAGCGAGUUUAAUAUUUUGUAACUGCUACUGUAUGAUGGUGCUUACAGGAAAGCUUAAUUCCCUUUGGCAAACAAAACUGUUACUACCGAUGCUGCUACCCAAUUGCUGAUGGAGAAGGAAUUGGAAGAAGACAUUGAUCAUUGUGUUGAUGAUAAUGUGCUACCUUUGGGAACACAGACUGCCCUAAAACGACUGCAAACUUAGAAAAGAGCAUCCAUGAGUAGGGAGAGAUUGUGCCGUCUUGCCAUGCUCCAUGUUAAUCGCGAUAAGGAUAUCAGCAGACCAAAUUAUGAUUCUGAAACGAUUUGACUGAACCGGCCAUAAAAAAAUUUGGCAAACUCUACUGAAUCGAUGUUUGUUCUAUGUUCUGGCAGCAGACUCAAAUCAGUGAUAAUUUGGAUGACUAUCUUACAUAUAAAUUGAAAUAAAAUUGUUAAAAAUUUGGUGUUUAAGUAAGUCUUAAAUAUGAAUUUAUAUAAAAAGUGUCCAAAUUCAACAUUAUUAAAAUGCUAGAAUGCAGGAUUUGCACCAUUCAUUUCAUACCCUCCAAAAAAAUAUUUCGCAUCGCUUCGCUCGGCUCAAUUAUCUUGCCUCACUAAAAUAAGAUGCAUAGUUACGGCCUUGAAAGAGAAUAAUCAUAUUAAUCUGUCUUCUAUAAAAGCUACCUUUAUCACGGAUGUCAUUGGUUUUUAUUGUCAUUCUCCGCCAUAUGUGUAUUUUGUAUAAUUUUUUGGCUGUGCGGGAUGUAUCAAGUUCGCAAUCCCGUCCGGUCAGAAUAAGGACGUUAAAUCCGAUGCCUCGUGUAAAGACGUAAAGAGAGUGCCACGCUCUUUGCACGUUAAGAACCCUUGUAACAACUAUUUGAGGGGUCCGUAGGUAGCCUGUUGCAAGGCAAAAUGUCUGCCCCUAUCCAAUAUACCGUCGUUUUCCAGUGGCAGUCCAAAUUUCCCCGCCCAUCAUCCCGGGUGGCCUCUAUCAUAACAAGGCCUUCCUGUUAUAUGUAUUGUUAACUUGCUCUCGUUGAAAAUGCAUGAAAUAUUUGCCACUGGACGUUAAGCAACCGACAAUCAAUCAAUCGUGUCAAAUGUUCGGACUCCUUGGUGUUUUUCCAUACAAUACAAGGUAAAACAAUUUGCCCCAUAACAACCAUUUAUUUUUUUCAUAUGAGACUUAGGGACGACAUCAAAAGAUCGAUGUAGGAUAAAAAACUUAAAUCGAGUGUUGGGGUGGGGGGGGGGGGGGGGGGGGUCAACAUUGCUGCAAGUUUUGUUAAUCUAAAAUCGAUUUUAAUAUAUCCAUAUAGGUAAAUCAAUUUUUCCCAAUUAAGUUAAGAAGGGGGUAGGGGGGUCAGCGAAAAACAAUGUGAAUUAAGUUUUUAUCCUACAUUGAACUUUUGAUGUCGUCCCUUAAUAGCUCAUGAAAGGUCUUUGAUUCUUGAUUUCUUUCUUUUGUUUUGAGAUCCAANNNNNNNNNNNNNNNNNNNNNNNNNNNNNNNNNNNNNNNNNNNNNNNNNNNNNNNNNNNNNNNNNNNNNNNNNNNNNNNNNNNNNNNNNNNNNNNNNNNNNNNNNNNNNNNNNNNNNNNNNNNNNNNNNNNNNNNNNNNNNNNNNNNNNNNNNNNNNNNNNNNNNNNNNNNNNNNNNNNNNNNNNNNNNNNNNNNNNNNNNNNNNNNNNNNNNNNNNNNNNNNNNNNNNNNNNNNNNNNNNNNNNNNNNNNNNNNNNNNNNNNNNNNNNNNNNNNNNNNNNNNNNNNNNNNNNNNNNNNNNNNNNNNNNNNNNNNNNNNNNNNNNNNNNNNNNNNNNNNNNNNNNNNNNNNNNNNNNNNNNNNNNNNNNNNNNNNNNNNNNNNNNNNNNNNNNNNNNNNNNNNNNNNNNNNNNNNNNNNNNNNNNNNNNNNNNNNNNNNNNNNNNNNNNNNNNNNNNNNNNNNNNNNNNNNNNNNNNNNNNNNNNNNNNNNNNNNNNNNNNNNNNNNNNNNNNNNNNNNNNNNNNNNNNNNNNNNNNNNNNNNNNNNNNNNNNNNNNNNNNNNNNNNNNNNNNNNNNNNNNNNNNNNNNNNNNNNNNNNNNNNNNNNNNNNNNNNNNNNNNNNNNNNNNNNNNNNNNNNNNNNNNNNNNNNNNNNNNNNNNNNNNNNNNNNNNNNNNNNNNNNNNNNNNNNNNNNNNNNNNNNNNNNNNNNNNNNNNNNNNNNNNNNNNNNNNNNNNNNNNNNNNNNNNNNNNNNNNNNNNNNNNNNNNNNNNNNNNNNNNNNNNNNNNNNNNNNNNNNNNNNNNNNNNNNNNNNNNNNNNNNNNNNNNNNNNNNNNNNNNNNNNNNNNNNNNNNNNNNNNNNNNNNNNNNNNNNNNNNNNNNNNNNNNNNNNNNNNNNNNNNNNNNNNNNNNNNNNNNNNNNNNNNNNNNNNNNNNNNNNNNNNNNNNNNNNNNNNNNNNNNNNNNNNNNNNNNNNNNNNNNNNNNNNNNNNNNNNNNNUGUGGUAUAAAUACAAUUUUAUCAUUGUGUAAGACGAUUUGAGAAUAAUGCUUUCAUCGUAAAUACUUCAGAAAUUAUAAUUGAUUCAAGAACCGUUUAUUGGAACAAAAAUAAAAUGAACGGCCUGGAGGAAGUUCUAACCUUAGUUGAUAUCAGGGGUCAAUUGGUAUAGCAGUAUGUUACGUAAUACAACGAUCGUCGAUGCAUAAUAUGCAUAUGUAUGUAUAUAGUAUGCAUGCAACUGGAUUUCGACAACUCGUGGGUUGUCUUUUAGACAAAGAAGUUCCAUUUUAAAGAUAUGAAAGUACGUCAAUGCACGUCUUGUAAACUAAUCUGUUACUUUUUGAAAUAUAAAUAAGUUAUAUUUAAAAGAUUGGAUGGUUAUUUCACACGUAUCAAAGUUCUUCUGUCAUCAUUACUGUUUUUCAAUUAUUUUUUUUGAGAGUUCGAUCUUAAAACUAAGUUCGUCCUGACAUUUAUGGAAUAUUUGCCACUGGAAGUUAAACAACCAACAAUCAAUCAUCUUAUUACAAAAUUUAAAAUAUGCCUGAGCGAUAAUAUUCUUUUAAAUUUUAAUGUGAAAGACAGUUUCUCCAUUUAUAAGAAGGCACUUCCAGGUCUAAUGUUAAGUGUAUCUACAUCCCGGGAUUGAGAUUUAUUUACUAUACUAGCAAAAAAAAAAAAGAAAAGAAAAGAAAUGAUGAUACGUUUUUUUUUUAAUAAUUAAAUAAUUAACGUUAAAAAUAUAUGUAAUUAACUUGAUCUAAAACUUGACCUCGCUCAUAAUAGAGAAUGUUAAAAAUCAAUUGUGUCGACUGCACGGGAUUGUCCAACGGCGGGAAAUACCCUGUAACUAUAAACACAGGUGAUGUUACUGACCGAUUGUGGAAUGUCAACUCAGGGUUAAAGUGAUGUGUAAUGAUUGUGCGCUUGAAAGUUGAGGCUCUAGUAGGUUCAUUUCAAUUGAUAAUCGAAAAUCUAAAAUCAUUUUUUUUUUCAAAUCAACGAUGAAGUUUUGGAUAUUAUGGAAGGGAUUUUUUUUAAGGACAACGGAGGUACCUUAAAAGUCUAUAGGAAAAUAUACAAAUAAAAUAAUAUAAAACAAUUUCGAAGGUCACAACUUGUAUCUUAUAAAUCAAUGAUAAAGCGACUUCAUCAGUAUUAACAGUUAUAAGAUUGCAAUCAGAUGACUUUUAAUUUUGUUUGUGUUUCAGGAGUGGGAGUGUAUAAGAUUACCUUAUAUUACAAUGUUUGUUUAUAUUGCUUGACCCUUAUGGGUGUAAUUUUGCAAUAAAGAUUAAAAAAUAUAUACUUUGGAUGUUCCAUUCUCAGCAUUGUUUCUGGUCUGUCUGUUCGUUUGUUCGUUCGUCCGUCUGUCCCGCUUCAGGUUGAAGUUUUUGGUCGAGGUAGUGUUUGAUGAAGUUGAUAUCCAAUCAAUUUUAAACUUAGUACACAUGUUCACAAUGAUAUGAUCUUUCUAAAUUUAAUGCCAAAUUAGAAUUACCUCAUUUCCUCAGUCCACUCAGGGACUUUCUAUACUAAUUAAAGAAAGUCCUUGGUCUGUUAAACAUAGAAAAUGAUAGUGCGGAUUGGGCAUCCGUGUAUACUAGUGACACAUUCUUUUUUUUUUUAAUUUAUUAAACUUGUUCUCAGUGGCAGAUCCAGAUUUUUUUUAUAUAUAAGGAGAGGGGAGACUAACUGAUAAUGUCAUGAGAGGACCAGCUCCAGUCAUUCUCAAGUGAUUCCCUAUAUAAUCAAUAUUUAUUUUUCAACAAAAGGGGGCGGACACCGUGUCAUUCCCCCUUUAUAGCCGACUGAGAAACUCAAAGGGCUGUUUAGGCAGUCAAUGUCGUCAAAAACUUCUAUGUGUUGUAUAGCCAGUCAUUGAGUCAGUGUCGUUAAAAACUUCCAUGUAUAUCAAUCAAUCAAAUCAAGACUAUUAAAAACUCUCAUCAACGCCAUUCCCCACUAAAUCCGGCUCUGGUUCUAUUAAUUUCAUUACUUCUUCAACAUACUAGUAUCGGGAGCAUGUGAGUAUGGUAGCACUCCGUAGAUAGGUCUGUAGUUUUGCAUGUAUGACACUAACAGUUGGCCUAACGUAUUAGAAGGCCAGGGUUGGAAGGUUAUUCAACAUUCUGUGGCUCAAUUGUAACUAUAUUUUCUGUGAAGUGCUACCUAAGCCGUGGCCUGGUGAACCCUACCCAUUUUUUUCAAAGGAUUUUCCAAUAGCACAUCGAAACACUUCCAGCAUUCUAUAUUUUUUUCACCAAAAAAAUUGUACCUCAGCAUAAUACAGGUCAUGAGGUACAUUUGUUUGAGGAGGGGGUUUCAAUUACUGUUUAAUUUCCUGUUACUACGAAUUUUCGGGAUUUUUUUUUCAUCAGAUUUGCCCUGUUGUCUUUUCUUUUAACUCCGUGUAAACCCUCACACGCGAUGUUUACAGAAUUAUUUGUUUGAAAAAUUAAAUUUGUUGUAUUACCUCUUUUAUCAAAAUAAUAUUUAGUUAGCUUUAUUAGCGCCUUUUCAAAGUCCAAGCAUUGAACAUUGCAAACACAUAUAGAUAUUUUCAAAUGAAUUAGAAAAUAUCUUCCCAAAUCGACAGAACGAACAGAGAGAUAUUUGCCACUGGUCUUUACCCAGUUAACGAUUCACUCUUAAAUGCAUUUCUCAAAAAACGAUGGGAAACAGAAAAAAAACCAGACUAUAUCUUUUGGAUAAACAGCCAAGGACAUUUCCAGACAUGAAUAUAACUGCAUGGACCAUCGCUUACAAGUUUUGUGACAGAACAGACUUACAACUUUACUAUAGUACAUGUACAGUGCUUAGAACUCUCAUAAUUUUACUCCAGUUUACAUAGUGCAUUAUUUUAUGUUUUAUGAUAUAACUGGUUUUAUGAUAACUCAAACUGUUUUAUACGUUUUUCCAAUUACAAAGAUGAAUAUUAUGAAAUGAGAUGAAACUUUUCGUUUAAUUUAAGUGUAUUAUCAGAAGGUACAUUACUCCCAUUUUGUUUGGGUGUGAACCAUCGAUGUUUACAGCAAUAUCAAAGAAUAAGAUGAUGAUGGUAGAAAGAACUAUGGGCGUCAUGUGGCAAAUAUUACAUGCAUAUCGGACCAUGAGUUGUCAAUCUGUAUGAAAAGAUUUCCAAUACAACCAUAUUAUUGAGAAGGAAUGUUUACAUGCUCUCGUACUAGUAUUACAGGGUUCUUGUGUCGUUCACCUUAGACACACAUCUUUUUAACGAUGUUUAAAAAAAAAGACAGAACCAAUUUAAUGUCAUAUAUCCCUAUUUUUUAAUAUAACUAUAACAAGAAUACCCCUAUUUAGCGGACAAGCAGUUUAUUCUUUUUUCUGUUAUUGAAUAUUGAAUACCAAGAAGGAAAAUAAAUCCCGAAAUUAAUUUGAAACUUUGAUACUCAAUAGUUUUCCAGCAAAAUAUUCACAUCCCUUGGGGAUAAUUAGUGUUUGUCCAGUGGCAUAUAUAACAUGCAUGUCGGAACAGGAAAUUUUGCAUAAUGUACUUUCAGAACCAUGUUCACAUCAUUAUACAUUAUAGCCAACAAUUGUGAUGACAACUCCUUCCUUUGUUCGAGAACAAUCUUGUUGAAAUAGAAAUCUGUGAUUUUACUAUGUCCAUAACUUCGAUGAACCCAAAGCAAGUUAAAUAUCGACCUGUAUUUAAUUCAAAUAAGUUCUCUUCUUCUUCUUCGUCCAUCGACAUCCCAUGAUAACAUACUGUUGUCAUACGAGGACUAGUUUAUUUACAAAACUUUUAACCCAAAUAAACAAAAUGUAUGUUUCUUUCUUAUGUUCAAUGUAAAAAUGUAUAUAAUUUUGAAUUGCAACUAUCUAUAGUUCCGUAACUUUCUAUCAAGGCGUAUAAAAGAAUGGUCGAUAAGUGCGUAUAUUUUUGUUAAAUCAAUAUUUCUUGUACGUUUCAAACUGUCCUUCACUUUUGAGAACGAGUACUUACAUUUCCCCAAAUUUACCCUUGGAAAAAAUGUGAAAACAGAUUUUUAUUUUAUCAAAUCUUUUUUUUUUGGAAUUAUUUAGAUUUUUUAUAAAUAAUAUUCUUUACAACAGAAAUGUAAUUUUAUAAACAAUGCUUAUGCGUUUAGUAAUGACUAGUAUAUCGGACACGCAAGACAGAGAUUUAUACUAUACACCUGAUAGUUCAAAAUGGAAAGUUUCAAGUUAUCGGUCGUAUACACUGAAUCAAUAUCCUUAGAAGUGAAGCUGAUGCAAUGAAACUUGCAAGUCCGACAGGAAAUCGCUUGAAUACCUGAACGUGUCACCUCACAAUACAUUUGGGUGUAAUACCUUUAGCCAACAAGGGAAGGUACAAAUUUAUUUAAAUAAGUUUAUUACAUAAAAGAAUUAUGAACAAAUUAGAUUUUCGAAAACAAUUUUCACGGAACACUUAUUUACGCUCAUUUAUGACUUUGAACUAUGACUUUUUCACCAAUUCCCAUAUAAACAGUUAAAAACGACAGACCUUGGUUACCACGGUAUAGCUGACUUAUAUUAACCAUUAAACCAAAUUUCAGAAAUCCUUGUAUUGUAGUUCCUGAGAAAAAUGUGACGAAAAAUUUUCAACUUGGCUAUCAUGUGUAAAAUCAAACAAGUGUUCGGUAAACAGGAAGUUGUUAAGUGAUGAAUCUGAAAACGCAUCAAGUUCCAAGUGUAGCUGAUUAUAUCAAGCCUGAAACCAAAUUUCAGAAAUCCUGGUAGUGUAGUUCCUGACAAAAAAUGUGACGAAAAAUAUUCAUGGGACGGACGGACUGACUGACAGACUGACGGACGGAUGGACUUAACAGUAUUUUUAUUUUUUCAUACAUAUAUCACUAAAAUUCAAGCGACUGUGAAUUCACUAACACGUGGCUGUUGACACAUUACACACAAUAUACUUAAAAUACCUGGGGCAAUUUACACUUCUGGUUUAUUGUCCCUUUAACCAGCCAGUGUAUCUGUGUAUGAUGUAUUUAUCUACCGUGCAAGGGUUGUGUAGCCAGUCAAGGUCGUUAAAUGUAUCUCUAGCUCCAUUGACAGACUCACAUAUUCUAUUCGAAAGCGGAUCCCGGAUUUUGAAAAAAAAGAAUGUGGAAGGACGUAAAGACAACAUUACAAAUUGGACUAGUGUACAUGCAACAUUCAAUCUAUUUCUUGUGUGACAGUUUACUGACUGUCAAACCCGUGUUCAAUUUAUUAUUUUGAUAUGGUUCCAUCAUUCGAAAAUAAGUUAUUAAAAUCUCAGUAGGCUAAAAAAAAACUACUGGAUUUUACCCACAGAGUGCAACAAACACAGGUCACGGAAAUGGUCUCUACUACUUCAAACUUUGGCAAUCUAAAAUAAAAUCUAAUCAGUCAAUUUCACAGUAUCACAAUUUCAUGUAACAGAAGAAGAUAGUGCCUUGAAGAUAGCUGAGUAAAAUAAAUAUUUUUUUUAAACAAGAUAUAUGUAGGGAGCUCUAUUUUUAACCAACCCGCGCAUGAACAGAUUCAUUUUUUCUUGUAUUUACUUCCUGAAUGACACGACUCUAGAAAUGUUUGCCACUGGACAUCAAUUUAAAAAUUAAAUAGAAUCAGACAGUCAUGCUCGAGCAAAUAACAUUGAGAACGGAACUUUAUAGCAAGAUAUAUACUAUAGUGUAUACAGAUUGUAUUUGAACACAUACGAGGGUCUUGAAUAUUGUCUUAUAGUUGUAAGUAAUUUUUCUGUAGUCUUCAUAUUUUCCCCCAUUAUUCUAUAUUCUUUGUUUUCUUGGUGUCUAUUUUAUUUACUUUUUUGGCCCUUUGUUGUGCACUUUUUGUCCAUAUAUAUUCUCUCUUCUUCUAUAUAAAUCCUAUUCAAACCCUUAUAAACAUACACAAUCAAAAUGUUCAACUCAAAACCCCAGUUGACUUGUCAUCCAUGGAGUUUUUCUCAACCGUUGAGAAUAUAACAAAUGCUAAAUGAGUCCGUUUAAAAAAAAGAUGUGGUGUGAUUGCCAAUGAGAAAACUCUCGUUAAGAGACCAUAUGCCACAGAAAUUAACAACUAUACAUGUAGGUCACCGUACGGCCUUCAACAAUGAGCACAGCCCAUACUGCAUAGUCGGCUAUAAAAGGAGAAAAAGUCUAGGAGUCCAUUACUGAUAUUACAUAUAUAUAUGAUUAAUGUAUCACGUAUACGUCUGAUGCUUAAUUGUUGGCUCUGCUGGAAGGCAAAAUAUUUAGCUCUUUACUGACUAGUAUUUAACAACUGAAACUAGAUAAGUUAUGAAAAUCAAGGAAUCUAUACAUGCUAUAACAGCAAAUUUGAACGGAACCAAAAGCCAAAUUAGUAAAAUAAUAAGUAUACAACUUGCAUUCUAGCAUUUUAAUAUUGGUAAUUAUUAAUGAUGUAAUGCGUAAAUAAGUUAUCCCUACACAGUGGAACAAAUGGGAAGCCAAAGUACGUUAAUGUCUGGAUUAAUCUUCUGCAAAAACAAUGUCAUUUUGUUUAUUUUAUCUGGUUAAAUCUUCUGACAUCAGACUCGGACUUCUUUAGAACUGAAUUUUAAAUGUGCGUAUUGUUAUGCGUUUACUUUUCUACAUUGGCUACUAGAGGUAUAGGGGGAGGGUUGAGAUCUCAUAAACAUGUUUAACCCCGCCGCAUUUUUCCGCCUGUCCCAAGUCAGGAGCCUCUGGCCUUUGUUAGUCUUGUAUUAUUUUAAUUUUAGUCUCUUGUGUACCAAUGAAAAAGCUCGCCAACAUUUUCAUGAUUCAACGUCAUGAUAAAUACUCUCUUAUGUAGUUAGUCAAUAUAAAACGCCAAACAAUAUACUUUUAAACGACGAAAAGACAUGGAACUGUGUAAUAUAGCCAAAACGGAUCCCAGAAAAUUUUGGUCAGCACUUAAGCAUAAAAGCAAGAAAAACUGUGUAAUUGAUAAUGAAAAGAUGUCUAGAUACUUUGAAAAUGUUCUCGGUGCUGAUCCUCCGGAGCUUUUGAGGAAGUAUCAAUCUAUUAAAUAAUGAAACUUUUGAUAAUUUAGACAUACAUGUUUUAGAUUCUGAAUUCACAGAGGACGAUAUUUAAAAGCGAUAACGAAACUGAAAUCUGGGAAAAGUGCGGGAAAUGAUAACAUUGUUGGCGAAAUGUUCAGUGCCAGUCCGGUAUUUUUUGCACCAAUUUUAAAAACAUUAUUUAAUUAUAUAUUACACAGUGGAAUAUAUCCUGAUUUUUGGACUGAGUGUAUCGUAUUCCCGUACUGAAAAGCGGUGAUUUAUCUGAUCCCAACAAUUAUAGACCUAUCGUGCUUGUGAGUGUCCUACCAAACUUUUUACAAGUAUACUUAAAAUCUGGUGCGAGAAACUAAUAGACACUCAGUUUGGGUUUAGGCCAGGCAAAUCUACCAUAGAUGCAAUAUUUGUUCUCCACGGUAUUAUAUCGCAUGUUCUUCAGCAAAAAAUAAAUUAUAUUGCGCAUUUGUGGACUUUCGUAAGGCGUUUGAUAAACUCAGUAGAAGAAUUCUUAUAUACAAAUUAUUACGAAAUGGAGUAAGCACUAAAUUUGUAGCUAUGGUGAAAUCUAUAUAUUCGUCUGUGCAACUUCGUGUUAAAUCUGGAGGUUUGCUGUCUGAUUCAUUUGAAAAUCUGCUUGGUGUGAAACAAGGAGAACCGUUAUCUCCUCUGUUAUUUUUAUUUUUCAUAAACGAUAUAGUCAAUGAUUUGUCUAUUGAUGCAACUGAUGAUGUCGUAACUCUGAACGAAUAUUUGAUAUACCUAAUUUUAUUCGCAGACGAUACCGUUUUGUUUGGGAAAUCACCUGAUAUUUUACAACAGUUACUUAAUAAAUUGUCAACAUAUUGUAUAAAAUGGAAUAUUGAAGUAAACACUGACAAAACCAAAGUAAUUGUAUUUAGAAAUGGCUGGCAGCGGGUUUAGAAUAAUUUUUUCUAUGACAACAACGAACUCCAAAUAGUUGAUUCAUAUGUUUACCUCGGAAUAUUACUGCAUUCUAAUGGCAAAUUUCUACAAACAGAGAAACGUCUGGCUCAGCAAGGAUCCAAGGCCUUAUCAACACUAAUGAAUACUCUCAAAAGCGUUUACAUUUCAAACUGAUCAAUGUUGUAUUUUAUUUGACAGUAUGGUUGGUUCCGUUCUUAGUUACGCAUCAGAAAUAUGGGCUUUCAUCGUGCUCGUGAUAUUGAAUUAAUUUUUAACCGUUUUUGUAGAUUUCUUGUAAAGGUUGGUAAAAAUGUACCUAUUAUUUUUCUAUGUGGUGAACUUGGGCAUUUGCCUAUGUAUGUUUCAAGGCGUAUUAGAAUUUUUAAAAUAUUGGUUUCAUAUUUUAUUGAAAAACCAAGUGUUGUUUACGAUGUUACAUGCUUCUGUAUAAAGAUGUUAUUAAUGGUAAAACAAAUUGGGUUUCUUAUGUACGAGAUUUAUUGUCUAAUCUUGGCCUGAACUUUUUGUGGAUUUCACAGGAUGUAACUAAUGUAGUUUUUGAUAUUGUUAAAAAACGUAUUACUGAUCAAUAUUUACAAGAGUGGUCCACAUCUUUAUGUGAUUGUGAAAAACUUUGCAUGUAUAGAAGAAUCAAGACAGAUUUUUGUCUUGAAAAUUACUUAAAUUUCUUUUGUGAUGUUCGAUUACUUACGAAACUACGUAGUGGGACACUUCAAUUAAAUAUCGAAGUUGGUAGAUAUACCAAUACGCCAAGAGAAUUACGAUUGUGUCUUUGUUGUAACAUGAACGUUGUUGAAGACGAAUAUCAUUUUGUUUUAGUCCUGUAUACAGACCUGUAAGAUCACAUUAUUUACCAAAAUACUUUUGUUCUUGGCCAAAUGUUUAUAAACUGGAUCAAUUGUUAAAAGCUGUCAAUAAAACUGUAACUAUAAAAUUAUGUAAUUAUAUUAAGGCAGCAUGGAAAAUGAGAUGUCAAAUUCUUACUUAACUUUGUAUGAUGUGUUGUUUCUUUAUUUGUGUCAUAUAUGUAAUAUAUGUUUUGAUUGCCAUAGCAUGUAAAUGCUUUUUGUAAUUUGGAAAUUAGUAUGGCGUUCAUUAUCACUGAACUAGUAUAUAUUUGUUUAGGGGCCAACUGAAGGACGCCUUCGGGUUCGGGAGUUUCUCGCUACAUUGAAGACCUGUUGAUGACCUUCUGCUGCUGUUUUUUUAUGGUCGGGUUGCUAUCUCUUUGACACAUUCCCCAUUUCCAUUUUCAAUUUUAUUUCAAUAAACUGACUUAAAUAAAAUUUAAGCAAGUUAAACUGUAAGCUUGCCGCCGUUGAUACCCCCGCCGAAAUAUUUCGGUUCACAGGAAGUUGUUGAGAAAUGAAUCUGAAAACGCACCACACGGUACAACUUACUUGCAUAAACCCUGUAAGCAAAUUGAUAGAUACGAAAAAGAUAAAUACGAAAAAAAUUUACUUAAAUAAAUGUUUAAUUUACAUGUAAUGUAUGACGUACUUACAAUCAUCUUGUGUAAAGAAACGUUUGAAUUGGCUGAUCUUUUUGUAAAGCAUGCUAUUUUGACGGUUACGGAUUCAGACUCAUUAAAGAUGCAUUUCUUUCUAACACAAACGAUGCAAACGGCUAAGCUCGCACAUGUUUUGAUCAUUUCUUUCAAACACAUACGUUUGCAAAGUUUACAUAAACUUUGACAAACUAUGCAAACGCUAAAAAUGCGUCUGCAGUUUGUCGUUUGUUAGUACAAACGCUGCAUUUGUUUCUAACUUCAACCUGAUUAAACGAAGUAUUUGUUUCUACGUUUGUAAAAAAGUCUGAUUACCAACAACAUGUGCAUGCAUUAUUGAAAAUUCAAACAGGGUCAUUAAAGAUUUAUCAAACGAUGUAUUUGUUUCUACUCGUGUAUCGUUUAGAAAACAGUAACACACGCGACACAACGUUUACAAAAUUCUUGUUAGAAAGAAAUGCGGCCUAAGAAAAAUCUUAUUAGAAUCACAAGAAGUUCUGAUAGGUCGUAAAAUAAACUUCCCAUCACUUUAUUCUUUUCACAUGUCAAUUUAAAAAAAAAAAAUUCGCAACGAUGUCAUAAUUGAAAGCACGAGGAAGGCUGGCCAAAAUGUUCAACUUGCGGCUAGUGAUUGACAGGUAUGAUUAUAUCUUGGGGCUCUUGUGGGGAGCGUGGUGUGUCGGACGGAAAAAAGAUUUCCAGUAUUCAUAUAUAUAUAAAUGUCGAUCUGAUGUGGAAAAUUGUGAGUUUUUUUUUAAUAGCACAAAGAAAAAGACGUUAGAAGAGUAACAAUGUGUAACUAUAAACGAAUUACUCGUUUAUAAUCUACGAGACUGAUCAGAUCGAAGUUUGAUAAAAAAAAAAAAAAAAAAAAAAAAAAAAGCAUUCAAUAUCAAACCUUCUUGGUUGGAGAAAACAUGUUCAAUGUAUACCUGCAAAUAUGUCUUAAUAAAUUAUAUUGUGUAUUUAAAUUAUCUCCAUUGAAUACAAUACAAUUUAUUAAAUGUAUCUAUGAUAUCCUCCAUAAAUAAAUAUCUGUACAGGUAAAGUUAAAUUCGGAUCAACAGAUUGAUUUACGACCUUCCGCUUGUCCAUGUUGUAUUGCAAAAAUAUCACAGCAGGUGUUACUCACACUAGACAAGUGUCAAAUCAGUAUGACAUUAUGUCGGAUUACGGCAUCUGCAGUAAUUAAGACUCUGUUUUUACUGUUUUUACAGGAACUGAUUUAUCUUAACAUGACAAUAAAGAAGAAUUUUGUAAGGUGAACAUAUUUGUAGUAUUGCAAAGUUACCACGUGCACUUUUCCUGUUCAUUGGUCACAUUUAAAUAGAUUAUUCUUUAUUGAACUAAAUUCGAUAUUUAAAUUGCAAGUAACUUUAAUAUCAAAACCACCGCUUUUUAUUUCUCGACUGAAAAGGGUAAUAAGACGGUUAUUUUUAUCUGACUAAACAUUGUAUAUAAUCACAACGAUCUAUUAAUAACCGUUGCUCACAGAUAACGGAUUAUACAACGAUCUAUUAAUAACCGUCGCUCACGCAUCACUGGUUCUAUCACUGACUCAAUACACACCAGUUUAAUCGGACAAACGGAUAAUUCCCUGAGACACGCGGAUAAUUCCCUGAGACACGGAAAAUCUCCGGAGAACCGCAAAAUAUUCUGUAAAACAGAAAAUUUACGAUGAACCUCUAUUUAUUAUCCGUUCCGCGGAGAUUUGCCAAAAAUCGCGGUCAUUUGCCAAAUAGGUCUACCAGUGUUUGGUCCCAACAGUUUAGGAAGUAGGGGCCAAAAAGGACCCAUAAGCAUUUUCUUGGUUUUCGCACUUUACUUUAGUAUAAUAAUAGAAAUCUAUGAAAUUAACAUAAGGUUUAUGACCAAAAAAGGAAGAUUGGGAUUGAUUUUGGGAGUUUUGGUCCCAACAGUUUAGGAAUUAGGGGCCAAAAAGGGCCCAAAUAAGCAUUUUUCUUGGUUUUCCCACAUUUACUGUAGUAUAAGUAAACAGAAAUCUAUGAAAUUUUAACAUAAGGUUUAUGACUACAAAAGGAAGGUUGGGAUUGAUUUUGGGAGUUUUGGUCCCAACAGUUUAGGAAUUAGGGGCCAAAAGGGUCCAAAAUUUAACUUUGAUUGAUUUCAUAAAAAAAAAUGAAUUAUUGGGGUUCUUUGAUAUGCCAAAUCUAACAGUGUAUUUAGAUUCUUAAUUUUUGGUCCUGUUUUCAAAUUGGUCUAUAUUCAGGUCCAAAGGGUCCAAAAUUUAACUUAGUUUGAUUUUAACAAAAAUUGAAUUCUUGGGGUUCUUUGAUAUGCUGAAUCUAAACAUGUACCUAGAUUUUUGAUUAUUGGCCCAGUUUUCAAGUUGGUCCAAAUCGGGGUCCAAAAUUAAACUUUGUUUGAUUUUAACAAAAAUUGAAUAUAUGGGGUUCAUUAAUAUGUUGAAUCUAACCAUGUAUUUAGAUAUUUAAUAUUUUGGCCCGGUUAUCCAAUUGGUCCACAUUGAAGUCUAAAGGGUCUAAAAUUGAACAUUAUUUGAUUUCAUAAAAAAAAUUGAAUUCUUGGGGUUCUAUGAUAUGCUGAAUCUAACCAUGUAUUUAGAUUUUGGAUAUUGGACCAUAAUAGGUAAAUGUCCAAUUUAAAAAUUUUAAGUUUAAGUUCUUAGACCACAUUCAUUCUGUGUCAGAAACCUAUGUUGUGUCAACUAUUUAAUCACAAUCCAAAUUCAGAGCUGUAUCAAGCUUAAAUGUUCUGUCCAUACUUGCCCCAACUGUUCAGGGUUCGACCUCUGCGGUCGUAUAAAUCUGCGCCCUACGGAGCAUCUGGUUUACAGUUAAGUUCAUUCCAACUGUUUACACAAAAACAUUACUUUAUCAUGGAAAGAUAAGUUUCAUUUACUGUUAGAUUUUUAUGCCCACUUUGUGCUGAAGGGUGCACACUGCAUGUUAGUACCUCCUGUUCUCUAACUUAAGUUUGCCUCAACCAAAUAUUAUAAAACCUAUACACAAUGCUCAUUAACACCAAACACAGAACCAUUUUUAACUUGGGGUGGUAUUCUUAAACCGUACCUGAGUUAUGUCCCUUCGUAAAUUAAAAAAUUGAAGAAUUUGACAUAUAUUUGUAAGUGAAGGCAUCUGAGUCUUAUAUGGACACACUGUCCACAGACCAGCAAUAUCAGUAUGAGUCCUUAUCUUUUGUUUGUAUCUUCAAGGUUCUUUUAGAAAAAUAUGAUGAAAAAGAUGCAGAGGAAGAAAAGCCUAAAGGAAGACAAAAGAAAUCAACAAAAACAGAUUCUACUUCACAGAAUAAGAAGAAAGCAUCAAGAAAAAAGUUUGUUUAGAUUUCCAAACCAUUUUACAUUAAGAUUCAGUAUUCUUAAAAUGGCCAUGAAAUAUUUUACUAAAAGUACAGAGAAUAUUGUAUACUAAACACAUGAAGGUGUUUUAAGUGAACCAUUAUUGAAGGUCCUUUUACAAUACUUGUAGCUUAAGUCCACAGACUAAUAUUAACAGAUUGUAAAUUUGAGGACUAUAAUAAGUUCAGUAAAAAAUGGUUAAAAGGAGAAGGUGUUUUAAAGGCCAUUGUUGUAGGGCUUUGGUUUGAAAAUAAGACAAAUAAAUCUAAUCCAUCCAACAACAUGCUUUAGAUAGGAACAUGAUCAGAACCCCGGUACCUGUAUUUUUACCUUAAACUCGUACAUGCAUGAGGACUUCAAAUUUCUUGCAUUUAAAUUCAAAACUGCAAAGUAUUAUGACAGCAGAAAUUAGAUUCCUUCACAAAAUAUUUCAAGAUUUAAACAGUUAUAAUUUAUCAAUACAAAAAAAACAUAAGUGUGGAAGUCUUGAAGAAUACUACUAUAUUAAUGCUAUAUCAGGGACCAAUUUAUGCCUCUUUAACCUCCUAGUUAGGUUCUAAAAGAAAUGCACUACGAAUUAAUUGUGGUCUCGGACCAUAAUGUAAAGGCAGGGGUAGAAUUUAAGAUUUUUUGUGUACUGGCCAGUCAAAUCAGUGGACUGAAAAUCAACUGGUUCGGCUCCAAAUCUACUGGUCCUGCAAAAAUUACAUUCAUUUGACAAACACUAAUAUACAUUUUUGUAAAUGAUUUGUACCAUACUUGGACAGAGGCUUGUUUAUGAUAAAAAGCUAUUAUCUAGAAGGAAAUUUAUUAAAAUUUUGUUCCUAUUUUCUGUAUUCUACUUAUAAAUGGACUUUUAAAACAUUUAAUAGAUUCAUAAACUGUCCUGGAUUUUUACCAAACUUGGACAGAAGCUUCUUACAAUCAAAAGAUAGUAUCAAGAAGGAUAUUUUUAUUUUUUUCCCCCUCAUUUUUGUUGAGCCUGCGAUCAACAGCAAAAGAAGGCGAGACACUUGAUUUCACAGAGCCCUUACGAAUUUCAAAUAAGAGUGUGUUUCUCAGCUACAAUCUUUUGUAGAGUGACAGUCCUGAGAUAAGAUGUAGCCAAGAAACAUCCUCAAAUUUUUAAGACCAUUUAUAUUAUGGUUAUGACUGUUUUCCUAAGCAAUAGAAUUUACUUUGGCUCUUGACUUCAUACUGUCUCAUUCUUCCAAGACUGAAUAAAACCCAUUUCACUUGAGUGAUAUGAUAUGAAAAAUUAUCUUAUGGUAAAAAAAAAGAUCAAACCAAAUUUAAAUAAAUAGCAAUGGUUUUUUUUUAACAGUUUAAAAAAAAUUCAGAUUUCAUAAUGUGUCCCUUGUACAAAAUGUACCAGUUCUCGUAUCAGAAGUUGAAAAAUAAUUAUCUCAAAUUCUUUAUCUUCUAUUUUACAGAAAGACAGCAGAGCCUACUCAACCAAGUCUACAGAACAGCUUGUUGACAGACUUCUACCCUGUCAGGCGUAGUAACAGGAGAUGUAAAUCUGAGUUAGAGGUGUGUUUUUAUAUGUAAUCAUAAUCAGGUCAAAUUUUGCAAAUUUUAAUUUGUAUUUUCCCAAAUAAUUCAAUUCAGAAUAUUUUAUUGUUCAAAUAUCAAACGUAUAGUUUAACAAAGGGGUUCCAAAAAGUCAACACCUAUACAAUUCCUUGUUCAUACAAGAUAGAAUAUGAUAUAUUUCUGAUAAUUUAUAAUAUUGCAGUGUGUCAGGAGAGGCAAUCCCAACACUUCUUAAAAUUAAUAAUUAGGUAUACAUAUUUAAAAAAUGAUUAUAAGUGAAUCCUUGAAAAUUCACUGCUGAAGAUGAUGUCAAAUUUGAUACCACAUUUAUAAGAAAUGUUAAGGUAGAUGGGGUGUCUAAAUUAUAAUCCAUAGAAUUUUUUAAUAAUUUGCCAAAAUGUAGUUUAUAUUAUGCUUUUUAAAAAAAAGUAAUAAAAAGAAUGGGUCACCUCUUAAUAUUAAAUUUAACAAUUUUUAAGUUUAUUAAGUUUUGAACACAGUUUAAUUUUAAACAACAUCAAAUGCUGACAUGAAGCAAUUUGUUUCAUUGAUAUAUUUGUUCAAAUUUCCUGAAAGAUCACAUUUAUACUUUUAGAAUGGUUUAUGUUAUAACUUUACUGUAUGGGUCAUUGAUAUAUAAAAUGUUGCUAGAACACUCAAAUGGUGCUCUAAACCUAACAUUGGGUUGGACUGUCUUGAAAUAAAAUUUCAUAUGUUAAGAUUAAAUAAACUGAAUUAUAUUUUUAAUUCUAAUCUGUUUACUCCAACCAAUUAGAAAAUGAAGUUUGAUUUAAAGAAACAAAAGUUAUUGUGACUUUUGGUGUACAAAAUAUUGUUAAAACUUUCAUAUAAAGCAUUAUAGAUUACUGUUUAUACAAACAUAAAUCGCAAAUUGUUUUAAUUAGUUUGGCAGGUGUUCUUCUUAAUUCAUGUAAUUAGAACAAUUAUUUAUGACACCACCCUGUAUUCCCUAAUUAACAAACAAUAACAUGAUUAUCUAUACACCUUUGAAGCCAUUUGAGAUCUAAUUAUAGAGUAAUUUGUUCUUUUUGUUCACCUGUCAUUAAUUUCAUACAUGUAAAUUUCACAAUCAAUUUCAUUUGAAUGAGAGUAGCUAUGGCAUGUAGUACUGCUAAGAGAGUUCGACUGAAUAGAAAGAUAAUAGACUACUCAAUUAUGGAUAGUGAGGGUUUGGUUGAUGAGGCUGUUGUGUCUUCAGCACUAGAUAAUUUAAUGGUGAUUUUUUUGUUUAGACAUAAAGAUGAUAGAAAUAGAUGUUAAUUAUCUGUUUUAUUUCAUUCUUGUAAAGUUCUGUGAUCUUUCUUAGGACGGUUUGGCUUAACAUUCUUUUUAAACAUAAUAUUUAUAUUAAAAGUGUGUUAUAUUAAAAGAAAGUGCAGUUAAUCGCAAUGACAUGUUUAUUAAAGCAUUUGAUUAUAAAAAUGGAGAAAUUGUAUUAAACCUGCUUAGAAGAACAUUGUCAAAACAUUAUUAUCAAGAGAUAAAACAUUUAGAUUCAAACUAACAUGUGCAAACUUUACUGUAAAAAAGUCAGAAGUAAUACUAAUACAAGUGUAUUUUAUUUACCAGUAUAGGUAAAUAAUUUUGGUGUUAGAGCUAUAUCCCUUUGAAAUUCAAAAUUUGUUAUUUAUAUAGGUAUUAAAUUUUUAUUUCUACUUUUCUUGAAACUCUCUUGACUACAUUAUUCAAAUAAGAGUGUCUGUCAUCUAAAGUUGUCUUCAAUAUCUUCUUUGUUUGUUAUUUUUCAAACAUUGCUCAUUUACAUACAUGUAACAUCUUUGCACAAUGGAUUGUUUUGUUACAUUUUAAGAUAAGAGGCAGGGGCAGGAUUCACAAAACAACUUAAAUUAAGAUUCCAAUUGUAAUACUAAGUUAUAAUAGGACAUGUACAAAAAUCUGUCCAUUCAAAACAAAUCUAAACUCUAAUAGCUUUAUGUAUACGGGUCUUGAUCUUAAUGUUUGGAAUGGUUUGACUGUCAAGAAAUUGAAAGUUUAAGGUGUUGUUAAAAAUAUAUCUUCCAUAUAAACGAAUUUAUGGAGAUUAAGUGGAGAUUAUUCAAACCUUGAAAGUUAAAUUCUUACAAAUUUAUUUAUAGGGGGUCUCAAUUGGGGGUUCUGAUCCAGGAUCCUGCUUACUGUUUUGUCAGAUUUCCGUAUCUCGCUUACACUAUGUAAGUAAGCAAAUCUCAAUUUUUUAUAAUUUCCCGGGUCCCGCUAGACUUCAUUUCCCGCUUUCAUGGCAUAAUAAUUUGACUUUCACGUGUCACGCUUACAAAAAAUCGACAAUCCCGCAUCACGCUUAGACCUCAAUGAGACCCAAUUUAUACAUCUGCAAAUAAACCUGACUUUGAUAACUGUUACCUCUGGUGUUCAUAUAAUUCUUAUAUUUAAACAGUGAAGUAUUAAAUUGUAUCAUAUUUUUUUCAGAAAGACAAACAGUGUGAGAUAGAAGAUAAAAUAUUAAACAAGAAAGAAGAAGGUUUGAAGGUAACAUAAUUUAGUGAAUCUUAAAAUCCUAAGAUAUAACAUUUUUAAUGUCUUAACCACAAAAUCUACGUUUUGUUUCUCUAACUUUCUAACAGCUUGUCUUAGUGAACAUUAACAAAGUAACCUGCUUUGUAUCUUUCAAUUUAUCACAGGAGAAAAAUAACGAAAUUCAUUCCCGACAUCUUGUUUACAAAUACAGAGAUUACACAAUCUUUAAUCCUUUGAUAUACCAAUUCACAAGUAUAUGGUAUGUUGGAAAUGACAUAUUUAUAUACUUUUUAACCGGAUUUUUGUGACAAAAAUGUCAGUUAUUAAUUUGGGGAUGUACGGCGGUCGGGCGGGCAGGCGGCAAUCAAAUGUUGUUCGUGCAUUAACUCAUGAACCGUUCAACCAAAGCUUUUAAAAUUUUAAUAUGUUGUUACUGACAACUAAAUGAAGGUCAAGUUCAAUAAUGGCGAUUUUGACUUUUACCGUUCAGGAGUUAUGGUUCUUGAAAGAUUGAAAAAUGGACUUUCCAGUCGUUUUCGUGCAUUUACGCAUGAACUGUUCUACCUAAGCUUCCCAAAUUUUAAUAUGUUGUUACUGAUGACAAAAUGGAGGUCAAGUUCAAUAAUGGCGAUUUUGACUUUUACCGUUCAGGAGUUAUGGUUCUUGAAAGAUUGAAAAAUGGAGUUUCCAGUCGUGUCCGUGCAUUUACGCAUGAACUGUUCUACCUAAGCUUCCCAAAUUUUAAUAUGUUGUUACUGAUGACAAAAUGGAGGUCAAGUUCAAUAAUGACGAUUUUGACUUUAACCGUUCAGGAGUUAUGGUUCUUGAAAGAUUGAAAAAUGGUGUUUCCAGUCGUGUCCAUGCAUUUACGCAUGAACUGUUUUACCAAAGCUUCCCAAAUUUUAAUAUGUUGUUACUGAUGACAAAAUAGAAGUCAAGUUCAAUAAUGACGAUUUUGACUUUUACCGUUCAGGAGUUAUGGUUCUUGAAAGAUUGAAAAAAUGGUGUUUCCAGUCGUGUCCGUGCAUUUUCUCAUGAACCAUUCAACCAAAGCUUUUGAAAUUUUUAUAUGUUGUUACUGAUGGCAAAUUAGAGGUCAAGUUCAAUAAUGAUGAUUUGACUUUUUACCGUUCAGGAGUUGUGGUUCUUGAAAGAUUGUGAAAUGGGCGUUUCCAUUCACGUUGUUGCAUUUACUCAUGAACCAUUCAAUCUAAGCUUUUCAAAUUUUAAGAUGUUGAUACUGAUGACAAAAUGGAGGUCAAAUUUGAUAUUGACGAUUUUCACUUUCACCAUUCAUCAGUAAUGGUUCUUGUGAUAUUGCCAGGACACAAAUAAAUAUUUAUAAAUCCGGUUUGCUGUCGUUGUGACAGCCUCUUGUUAAUUGGUUGAAAUUGGAAUGUUCAAAUUGUUAAUCAAUAUACCAAUAUACUGGCGUUAAGGUGGUACUUAACACUACAGGGAGAUAACUCUGUAAAAUCAGCUAAACCUUUUAAUUACGUUGUGUUGUAAAAGGAAUAUUAAGCUUCUCAAUGAUCAAAAAUGGUGUUUGUCGAAUUGCUAUAUAACCAGUGUAAUUUUUCUGACAAAACGUUUGGUUCAGAUUUUUUAAAAUUUUUGUUAAAGUGUCAAGGUAAAUUACUUUGACAAAAAUUUAUGAAAUUUAAACGAGCCAAAUUAAUUUUAGUGAAAGUGUUGGGUACCACCUUAAACAGUGAUUAUUAUAAAAUUAAAGUUGUUUUUAAGCUUUUUAGAAGCAACAGCCACAUUUCCAUGACAUCCAUAAGAUGUGUAGACCCUGCAACCACAUUGUUCAUGCAACAAAUGGUCCAUACCUUAUUUUCUGCUGUGAUAAAUUUAAAAUAUUCAAACCCUAUUUCAAGUGUAAAAUAACAACAAAUAAGAACAAGACAAAUACUUUAGAUACAUCAAAAUACAUUAACAAGUUAUACUAACCCUUUACAUGUUUAUAUCUAAAUGCUUUAUAAAGAAAAAAAAUUCUGAAAGAAGAAAAAAACACAUGGAUGAAAAGUCUAUGCAAAGUAUGGACGAAGUUGUCCUAUGUCAGGUCCUGUUUCCGUUUUUAUGAUACCAAAGGAGUAGGUCCGGUAAGACCCCUUUUUGGCCCCAAAAUAUAACAGUUUUACAAAAUUGUUAAAAUGUAAACUUUUAGUUAUUUAUUGGACAGUUGAAUGCGUCUGCCACAUAAAUAUGGGCUGUUUUUGACUAUGCAAUGCACAUAUAUCGGGUUGUAGCGCCAUUAAGUCAUGCUAAAUUACUGAAAUCUUUGAAAUUCUAGCAUUUUAGUUAAAUUUUAGACGGUUUCCGUGUAAAACGGAAGUGGCCGCAUUCGUGUUCAUCCUUAAUAUUGAAAUGUAAGUUGUAUUUUAUGAUAAUACAGUGUUCUAGGAUUUUUAUGGCACCUUGACUUACCAAGGGUAAGAUCAAUAAAAAAAUUACUUACCCGCCAUAAUAACUUUGAAUAUUGUAAUUUACUGAACAAAGCUGGAUUCGGAUACGAUUGAAUUUUGUACAAAAUUUAAAAAAAACGAUUUCUUACUAAAUUUGACAAAUAUGUUAUAGUUAUUACUAUGUCAUUUAUUAAGAGCUAUAAUAAAUGCAACUGUAAGUUUAUUUUCCUCCGAUGACAAGAAAAAAAAUCGUUUAUGUCCCGAUUUAAGCACCAGUUAUCAAUCCGGAUUUUCCGAUUUUACCGACACCGUGACCGACUUUUAGAAUGAUAGGAGAAGAAUGUGGUCUCUUUUGCGCUUGAUUACACCUAGUAAACGAGUGCUUGAAUAAAAACGCCGAUAGACAUCGACAAAAUCUUCGAUCUUUUAUCAAAGUUUUUUCUCGUGAUUUAAUAAAAAUAAAAAGCAGAUAUGGGAAAAUUGAAGAGGACCGGGAAAUUUCAAGAGUUUUUCGGCUUCCCCGAAAUUGGAAAUUGACUUACCACCGGGUGACAAAGGCUAAAAAAUGACUUACCCGUUGUCCUAAUCCACUUACCCCGGGUAAUGGGUAAUGGGAAUCCUAGAACACUGUAAUAUAUAACAUAUAUAAAGGUUGUGGAUGAACACGGAUGCGGCCACUUUCAUUUUUGACAAAAACCAUCUGUAAAGUGACAUUUUUCAGCAUAUUUGGUAGAUUUUUCAUAUUUGAGCUGGAAAUCGGAUCGUUUUAAUGACUAAAUCAGUUUAAAAUCUUUCACAUAAACUAAUUGAAUCAAGUAAAAUAGACACUUAAGUGUUUAAAAAGUGGUCAAAAUCUUUCGUCAGAUAAACCUUAAAUUUGAGGCCAAAAUCGAUCCUUACCGGACCUACUCCUUUUACAGGUUAUAAUAUAGUGUCUUUAUAAAGAUAUUUUAAAGUGAAAUUUGAGGCCAAAAUGAGUCCUUACUGGACCGGACCUUCUCCUUUAUUAAAAUUGUGAAAGAAGUUCUGAUUCACAGGUUUAUGUUUUUUUUGGUAUUUGAUAUUUAGGUCUUUCAUCUAUUUAUCAUUUAACAAUUGACAACAUUUUAUAAAAUAAAAGCCAUGGUUCAAGUUGUAGAAAUGUGCACAAUCUGCUGUAGUGCAUUUAUGUUUUCAACAAAGACUACUGUUUUGCAUCGGUAAUGUUUGAUUUAUUCUUGAGAAGUUAUUUCCGACUGUAUCUAAUCAUUCAUUUCUUAUUGUAGGUUGAAGAAAUUGCAAAUAAAGGUCGUGGGGUGAUUGCUAGUAAAGAUUUCUUCCGUGGAGACUUUGUUGUGGAAUAUGCUGGUAAUCUUAUCAGUCAGAAGGUUGCCAAACAGAAAGAGUUGGACUACGGCAAAGACCCCAGUAUUGGUUGUUACAUGUAUUACUUCACUCAUAAAACUAUUAAUUACUGGUAAGUAAAGGAGGAUUAGGAAUGAAAGGAAGUAGGACUGUAUGGCUUAAGGUGGUUCAUAACACUACAAGGAAAUUACUCUGUAAAAAUCAUCUGAAUGUUUUAAUCACAUACAAUUGUUAAGGAAAUAUAAAGCUUCUCAUUAAUCAAAGUUAUUGUUUGUCAACCUGAUAUAUAUCCAAGGAAAUUUUCUGAUCAAGAGUGUGAUACAAGUUUUUUUUAAUAUUUUUAUCAAAUGGUCUUAAGUUAAUAUUUUGUCAAAAUUUUAUGAAAAGUAAAGAGGGGGGAUAGGAGGGGUCUUGAUCCCGAAAUCCCGGACUUGAAAAAACGAAAUCCCGAGGUCCCGAAUUUAAAUAAAGCAAAUCCCGACAUCCCGAAAUCCGAAAAAAAGGAUUCCUGGAUCCCGAAAGGGUCAAUCCCGAAAUCCCGAGCUUAAAAACACCCGAUCCCGGAGUCCCGAUUAAAGGUCCUAUCCCCCCUCAGUAAACGAGCCAAAUUAAUUUUAGUCAAGGUGUGUGGUGCCAUCUUAAGUCAUAAUAUAAUGUAUCAUAGCAGGAAUAAGUGUUGGCCUGCUGACUGUCAACUUUUUUAAUAGCAAUGAUAUUUUAGAAGAGUUGAAAUAAAAAAAAAAUUAUCUCAUGAAGAUUCUUAUAUCCUGAAUAUACAAAUUCAUGAAAUAUAUGCUGAUCAAGUUUUCUGUCCACUUAUCAAUGAAGCAUUUUGUUAUUGGAAUAUACAAAAUCAUAACAAUUUUACUCUUAAGUUUAAUGCAGCAUUUUUUUUUUUUUCAGUGUGGACGCAACUGCAGAGAGUGGGCGUCUUGGUCGUCUCAUCAACCACAGUAGAACGAAAAACAACUGUCACAUGAAGUUAACAGAAAUAAAUGACCGCCCAUACCUCAUGCUUGUGGCCUCAAGAGAUAUUUCAACUGGUGAAGAACUUUUAUAUGACUAUGGGGACAGAAAUAAAGAAUCUCUGACAUCACAUCCAUGGUUGAAGUCAUGAUGUUUGGUUGUUGUUAGCUUUUUAUUGUUUUAAAUUACCAUGUUUACUGUGUUUUGAAUUGUUACUUUUUAAACAGACGUUCAUUUGCAUUUAUAUUGACUAAUUGUGUUUGAUGCAUGUUUUUAAACAAACUCUAUGUGUCAUGUGUAUGAAUGUAGUUUUAGACAAUAUAUAUGUGUCAUUUGUAUGAGUGUAGUUUUUAUGUAAACAAACUCUAUGUGUCAUGUGUAUGAAUGAAGUUUUAGACAAUAUAUAUUUGUAAUGUGUAUAAGUGUAGGUUUUAUGUAAACAAACUUUAUUUGUCAUGUGUAUGAAUGAAGUUUUAAGCGUUUUUAAAAGAAGUAGUGGUUGUUGUUUCCAGAAGUAUUAAUUUUUGUAGC